rnacentral:lncRNA from 1 species
UUUGGAAACAAAUGUUGAGGGCCUUGUUCUUCACCACCAGGAAACACAGUCAUCAUCUGGUACAACAUGGUUUCACCCAGAGAGAAACGGCUGGCGUUUUUCGUAUCCCAGCCACAAGGCAGAUGGUCAAGUUUUGUGUUCUCAUUGACCUGCAGAUAAUCGGAGGUAUUUUUUUGGCGAUAUUUCAACAACCAGCCAUCCAAAAGGAAGGUGGUCGCAUUUAUUUGCUGGGUUAUCUUAUUAUCCCGAUCAACGGAUUUCUCGUGUGUGCCCUUCGUUAAACCGAAAGCACUUCAGUAGUUAAUUCAUACCAUUGGUGGUGAUGGUGAUGGUCGUCUGACGAAGUGCAAUACUAUGUAGAAGUGAGACAAAAGGGAACCGAACUUUUUGAUGUGUUCCUUUCAGUAAUUGAAUGCCAUGUCUACUGAAGCUAGACUGCCUUGGCCCUUGAUUGAUGAUUCGAUUUGUUCUGGUAAACUAAGAGAUAUAUUAGAUGAGAUAGUGUUUGCCCUUUUUGUUGUCUUUGCUCUGUUUGGGGCUUUCUUUGAACUGUACAUCUCCCAGUUAAGCAAACAGCGUGUGCCGUUUUGGAACUUGACAAAAUAAGCUCGGCGCCAUCCAUCUCGUAAUAUCGUUGAACUGCUUUUGCCCUUUUCUGUCCUCCGCUCUGUUUCUGGAUUUCUUUCAACUCUAGAUUCUGCAGUUAAGUAAACAGGGCGUGCAGAACCGCCGAUAUAGAACUUUGCAAGAUAAGCUAAGGCGACAUCUCUUAAGCUGGUUGAAGUGCUGUAAGGCGCUGCAGGCCUUCUUGCAAGGACGUGAGCGCGCGAGAGUCCUAGAGUUGAGUGACAGACUGAUCACCAGAGGAAGGACUCUGCAUCUCACAAGACGAGAAGAAAGAACUGCAACAGCAAUAUGUAGAUUCAAAGGCGCAGUGUCCAGCACGGAGGGUUCGCUUAGGGGAUUGCCCUGUCAGCUGUAGCCUGUGGGCAAUAUGCUCGUAGGCUGACAAGCCAUUGAGCGCGACGCCGUUGAUGAUUGCUUCCAGAGCAUAGCACAUCACUGAGUGCGCCGUGGCUUCCGUCCUUCCACCCGUUUCUGUCCCAGGCCCAGCGCUCAUAUCAUGUCGACUCGAUCCUCUUUCCCGUCUUGCGCAGGCCAGAAGCUCUUCCUGAGGCCACGCCAUGGAAGGAGGCUCCUCUUGCAGAAGGUAGGAGUAAUAAUCUCUUCAAUCAAACUCGUUUGCUCGUGCUGGACGUACGCGUAACUCGUCUGCUCUCCGAUCCUCAGGGUCGCCCUGGUGACAGGGGCCAACAGAGGGAUCGGGCUGGAGGUGUGCAGGCAGCUCGCGUCCGGCAGCGCCACGGUCGUCCUGACGGCCAGGGACGAGAAGAGGGGCGCCGCCGCGGUCGACGCGCUCCGGGAGCUCGGACUGUCAGACGUCGUGUUCUGUCAGCUGGACGUCGGCGAGCCGUCCAGCGCCGCUCGUCUGGCGGACUUCCUCAGGGAUAGGUUUGGCAGGCUAGACAUACUGGUACGGCUUGGUUUCCACCUUGUCCCACUGAUUUCUCAAAUGGUUUCUGCUGGGAUUGUUUUUUUUUUUGAAACGGAGGCAAAAGUUUUGCCUCAUCGAUUAAUUAAGAAGAAGAGAAUUGUGAGUGCCUUGUGCUUUGCCUUUGCAGGUGAAUAACGCGGGAGUCUCCGGGGUGAGAAUGGACGUCGGAGACCCCGCAGCUCUUCACCAAGUGGUUAGCUUAGCUUAGCCCUUCUUGUUUAAUUUCUGAGACGGCGCUGAUGAAUUAAAUUACAUCAGAUAUAAGCUAAUCAGUUUGCAAAUAACCAUUACGGGAUUAUGGGAAUGUUUUGAACAAAGUAUGUACAUAGGAGACCCUGCAGUUCUUCACCUAGUGGUUAGCUUAGCUUAGCCCUUCUUCUUUCUCAGCCCACGCAUUAGAUAUAAAUCAAUCACUUUGCAAAUAACUGUUCACGGGAUUAUCAAAAUGUUUCGAACAAAGUAUGCAAAUGACCGAUGUCGAUUCCAAAAGUUAGUGCUACAAUCGGGGCUUCAAAACACCAAUCCACCAAGCAAAGGUGACAUAUGCACAUUGAGAAGACCAUAACAAAUAGUAUCCGAACAGAGUCGAGUACCUCAUUACUUGAAAGGAGAACAUGUCUCGUUCCUGCCACUUAGGUGAAGAGAAAAUUCUUGAUUUGCACAUUAAAAGGCACCCCAUUUUACACGAAAACUAUUGUCUUUCAGAAUAUUACUAAUGGGGAUUUCUUGAUUUGCUCCUACAUCAAUGACAGCGUACGAGCAUGAGUGCAGCGGAGAGGCUCGAGUGGUUCAACCAGAGGACGGCAGAGCCUUUCGAGGAGGCAGAAGAAUGCCUAAGAACAAACUACCACGGCACCAAAAAUGUGACGGAGGCGCUGCUUCCUCUGCUUCUAUCCUCCUCUGAUGCAAGGGUUGUUAACGUCUCCUCUUCCUAUGGGUUACUAAGGGUAAUCUCUCCAAUCUAAAAUGAGUAUCUUGUACUUCUUCCGUCCCAUAAUGUAAGACGUUUUUUUGACACUACCACUAGUGUUAAAAAACUUACUACAUUAUGAGACAGAGAGAGUAGAUAUCUCAUGAACUAAAUUGCAUUUUUGGAACUAGUAUUUCAGCGGAGAAGAACUUAAACACGAGCUUGACGACAUCGACAACCUAUCCGCGGAGAGGCUGGACGAACUGUCGGGGCUGUUUCUCAAGGACUUCAAGAAUGGCCGGCUGGAUCACCGUGGAUGGCCAGUUGGAGGGUUCUCGGCCUACAAAGUGUCCAAGGCCCUGAUCAAUGCUUACACAAGAAUUCUCGCCAAGAAGCACACCUCUAUGCGCCUCAACUGUUUAGAUCCUGGCUAUGUUAAGACAGACAUCAAUUUCCACACCGGGGUUCUGACCGUGGAGGAAGGCGCGAGAGGCCCUGUGAUGCUGGCACUCAUGCCAAAGGAAGGGCCGACGGGAUCCUACUUCAAUGGCACAGAACAAGCAGCCUUCAUGUAGCGAUUGCAUUUUUCUUGUGCUCUGGGUGUUAUCCGUAACUUAUGCCCUGGUGAACUACGAGUAUAUUUUCUUAAGAUGAUUCAUGUUAUAUAUACUGUACUACUCCCUCGGUCCUGAAAUUCUUGUCACGGUGGCAAUUUUGGAAAAACCCCUUUGGCAAAUUCCUGACACAACCCGCACUCCCCGCGUCUCCCCUGCGCGGGAGCUCCUCUAGUCGGCUCCCCUGUGCGUCAUCGGAGCUCCCCCGCCCCACGCCUCCGCCGCAUUGCUUCCCCCUCUUCGUUCCCCAUGGUGAACCAUGGCGAGGAGAAGGCUCACUUUUUUUCAAUCUGGCCCUGCCCGUCCGACGGUGGCGUCCUUCCCCGAGGGUGGUGAGCCGGAGCUGGCCCUGCCCUUCGUCGACCCCCUCCUCGCCGGCUGGCAGCCGUCGACCACGAAGCCAAUCCCCGCCUCGCCGGCCAGCAGCCACCACUAUCUGUUGGAAUUUUGCUAGUAGGCCUUUGGCCCAAAGCCCAACUAAAAUUCUGAAAUUCUCUUGGCCCAUUCAUGCACACAUGUGAGUGGAGUGAGUGAGACUAAAGUUUAGUCCCACCCCGGAAGUUGAGAGAGAGUUGCACCUCUUUAUAAGGUGAGCUCUUCUACCACUUGUAUGAGCAUGAGAAGAGGAGACCUACACGCGCUACUCCUCCUCGCUCGGCGCGCCGCGGGUUACGGGAUUGAGCCGAGCCGAGGACAGAGCUAUGCACGUUGUCUAUAUUUUUGCUGCUCGGGAAAAAUUAAUGAGUCAUUAAUUAAUAAUUAAUGGACGCGUUAAUUACUGAACCGUUUCCGAUUCUUUUGGUUCGUGACGACUCGGACGUGGGGUUUACUCCCACGACCUACCCGGCCCGCACUAUAUAGUCAGGCAGACGUCUACCCUAGCCGCCGUCGCUUUGUAUGGUUUCUCACCACCGUUCCAGAUCAUUGCGCCGCCAAGCAAGUCUUCUCCAUCCCUCCUUUCGGCGUGCACCGGGAGAAGGGACAGCAGGCCUCCGGAACCCGCCUCUCGUGAUCAUGUACGGGAGAGGGGCGAUCAGAUUUUUGGGGAGCGCACUCGCGUGACUGCUGGCAGCGACGACUUCGCGAACGACGACUUCUUCCCUGACCUCGGCAACCUCAUCCUCGACGACAUGGGCGACAACGUCAACACUGGCGGUGCUGCACCCGCUGCACCGUAUGUUAUUCUAUCCUUCUUGUUCGAGAUCGUGGUAGAAUUCAUGUUUUUAGUAUGUGCCCUAGAUGUGAUCUAUUCAUCUACUAUGCUAGUUCGCACGAUUAGUUUAAUCUCUGCUAUUGCUGUCAUGGUGUAUUUCCUAUUUAUUCAAAUUAAAUCUCGUAGUAAUUUGCUCAUUUUUCCAACAAUCCAAAAACCUGAUUAUAGGCAAUUUACUCCGAGUGGUUUUGCUGCGCAUCUGAAGCCGCCUGCCUUUAAGGGGGCGCAAUAUAAGAGGUGGCGCAGGAGAGCAGUCUACUGGUUUCAGACUAUGGGUUGCUAUGACGCCACCAAGGGCAAGCCUGAGGGCGAUCUUAAUCCAGCACAGCUGGAAGCUUUCGAGAAGAUCGAUACCCUCUUUAAAGGCACUCUUCUGAGUGUUCUUGAUGACUCCAUUGUGAAUUCGUAUAUGUCGUUUGACAAUGACAAGGACAUGUGGGUUGCGCUCGAGGCCAAGUUUGGUGCCUCGGACGCCGGCAGCGAGUUGUACAUUAUGGAGCAAUUCUAUGACUACAAGAUGACUGAUGAGCGCCCUGUUGUACAGCAGGCUCAUGAGAUACAGUCACUCGCAAAAGAACUUGAGUACUUCAAGUGUGUGUUGCCGGACAAAUUUGUUGCCGGAGGCAUCAUUGCCAAGCUUCCACCUUCGUGGAACAAUUUUGCUACUUCUCUGAAACACAAGAGACAUGAGUUUUUCGUUGCGCAUCUCAUUGGUACUCUUGAUGUUGAAGAGAAGGCGAGAGCAAGGGACACACGUGCUCGAGUUGCUGAGGAAGGUUCUAGUGCCCACAUGGUACAGAAGAAGAACUUCCAGCCCAACAAGUUAAAAAACAAUAAGAACAAAACUCAGGGCAAAGGCAAGUUUGAUACAAAGAACAAGCCAUCACAUUCUACCAACUUCAAGAAGAAUUAUCAUAAGAAGGGGAAGAGACUUUGCCAUGUCUGCGGUGAUCCUAAUCACUGGGCUCCGAAGUGUCCUAACCACUUUGAGGAGCGCGAACAUGAGAAGAGCGGCAAGUCCGCUAAUGUUGUCAUCGGUGAUACUGAUAUGAAGGAAUCAGGGUAUGGUAUUUUUCCUACCAUCCUUUCAGUAUUCCAAAGCCCUGAUUGGUUAAUUAACACCGGUGCCAAUGUACAUGUUUGUGCUGACGCCUCCAUGUUUUCUUAUUACCUGGCCACUGGGACUUCUCCCGUGCUGAUGGGGAACGGGUCACAUGCCAUCGUCGAGGUGUUGGUACGGUCGAUUUGAAGUUUACUUCGGGGAAGACCGUGCGUCUGAAGAACGUUCAUCAUGUGUCUUUCAUCAAUAAAAAUCUCGUUAGCGGUUCCCGUUUAUGUCGAGAUGGUUUUAAGUUGGUUUUCGAAUCCAAUAAAGUUGUAAUUUCUAAGUAUGGACAAUUUGUUGGAAAAGGCUAUGAGAGAGGAGGCUUGUUCCGCCUGUCUUUGUCAGAUAUUUGCACUAAAGUUAUUAAUAAUGUUUGCCACAACAAUGAGUCUGAUAUUUGGCAUUCACGACUUUGUCACAUUAACUUUGGUUGCAUGACGCGGCUAGCCAAUAUGAAUUUAAUUCCGAAAAUCUCUACUGUCAAAGGCUCUAAGUGCCAAGUAUGUGUGCAAGCUAAGCAACCUCGCAAGUCCCAUAAGACUGCAGAGGCAAGAGACUUGGCGCCACUAGAGCUUAUACAUUCUGAUCUUUGUGAGAUGAAUGGCAUAUUGACAAAAGGUGGAAAGAGAUACUUCAUGACGUUGAUUGAUGACUCCACUAGAUAUUGUUAUGUGUAUCUUCUGAAAUCAAAAGAUGAGGCUUUGACUUUCUUCAAAAACUAUAAAGCUGAGGCAGAGAACCAACUUGAUCGAAAAAUUAAACGGCUUAGGUCCAAUCGUGGUGGAGAGUAUUUUUCCAAUGAAUUUGAUCUGUUUUGUGCGGAACAUGGUAUAAUCCAUGAGAGGACACCUCCCUACUCACCCCAGUCAAAUGGGGUAGCCCAAAGAAAGAACCGAACUCUAACUGAUAUGGUUAACACCAUGUUAGACACUUCGGGUCUAUCCAAGGAAUGGUGGGGGGAGGCGCUAAUGAUUGUGUGUCAUGUCCUAAACCGAGUUCUCACAAAGCAUAAGACCAUGACUCCAUUUGAGGAAUGGGAAAGGAAAAGGUUGAAACUCUCUUACCUACAUACUUGGGGUUGUUUGGCAAAAGUCAAUAUACCAAUUCCCAAGAAGCGCAAGCUUGGACCAAAAACCGUGGAUUGUGUUCUUCUGGGUUAUGAUUUUCAUAGCAUCGGCUAUAGAUUUUUUAUAAUAAAAUCUGAGGUAUCCGACAUGCAUGCUGGUACGAUUAUGGAGUCGAAUGAUGCAACUUUCUUUGAGGACAUAUUUCCUAUGAAGGAUAUGUCGAGUUCAUCAAAUCAGGAGAUACCUACUCCAUCUAGUGAGGAAUUCACUGUAAUUCCUGAACCCACCAUUGCGAUGGAACACGUUGAGAAUCCUGUUGAGGGUAACAAUGUAACUCCUGUGAGGAGUAAGAGACAGAGGACUGCAAAGUACUUUGGCGAUGAUUUCAUUGUGUACCUCGUGGAUGACACACCCAGGACUAUUUCAGAAGCCUAUGCAUCUCCUGACGCUGACUACUGGAAGGAAGCUGUACGUAGCGAGAUGGAUUCCAUCUUAGCUAACUAUACCUGGGAGAUCACUGACCGUCCUUAUGGGUGCAAACCUGUAGGAUGUAAGUGGUUGUUCAAGAAGAAGCUUAGACCUGAUGGUACGAUUGAAAAGUACAAGGCACGGCUUGUGGCCAAGGGUUAUACCCAGAAAGAAGGUGAAGACUUCUUUGAUACUUACUCACCCAUGGCUAGACUGACCACAAUUCGGGUGCUACUAUCACUGGCUGCCUCACAUGGUCUUCUCGUUCAUCAAAUGGAUGUUAAGACAACUUUCCUCAAUGGAGAGUUGAAGGAGGAAAUUUACAUGGAUCAGCUAGAUGGUUUUGUAGUACCUUGUCAGGAAGGAAAGGUGUGCAAGUUAUUAAAGUCUUUAUAUGGUGUUAAACAAGCUCCUAAAGAGUGGCAUGAGAAGUUCAAAAGAACAUUAACUGCUGCCGGCUUUGUAGUAAAUGAUGGUGACAAGUGCGUGUACUAUCGCUAUGAUGGGGGCGAAGGAGUUAUUCUUUGUCUGUAUGUCGAUGACAUAUUGAUCUUUGGAACCAAACUUGAUUUAAGCAAGGAGGUUAAGGAUUUCUUAUCUCGCUGUUUUGAGAUGAAGGAUCUAGGAGUAGCUGAUGUUAUCUUAAACAUCAAGCUGUUGAGAGAUGAGAAUGGUGGGAUCACACUGCUUCAGUCUCACUAUGUGGAAAAGGUCUUGAGUCGUUUUGGGUAUAGCGACUGCACACCUUCUCCAACUCCAUAUGAUGCUAGUGUGUUGCUUCGAAAGAAUCGAUGGAUUGCUAGAGAUCAACUGAGGUAUUCUCAGAUUAUUGGCUCGCUUAUGUAUUUGACGAGUGCCACGAGGCCUGACAUCUCGUUUGCUGUUAGCAAGCUGAGUCGGUUUGUGUCAAAACCGGGAGAUGAUCAUUAGCAUGCGCUUGAGAGAGUUAUGCGCUAUUUGAAAGGCACCGCGAGCUAUGGGAUUCACUACACCGGGUAUCCAAGGGUACCUGAGGGUUAUAGUGACUCAAACUGGAUAUCUGAUGCUGAUGAGAUUAAGGCCACAAGUGGUUAUGUUUUUACACUUGGUGGUGGCGCUGUUUCUUGGAAGUCUUGCAAGCAGACCAUCUUAACGAGGUCAACUAUGGAAGCAGAACUCACAGCAUUAGACACUGCCACUGUUGAAGCAGAGUGGCUUCGUGAGCUCUUGAUGGACUUACCUAUGGUUGAAAAACCAAUACCCCCUAUCCUGAUGAACUGUGAUAAUCAAACUGUGAUCGUCAAGAUAAACAGUUCCAAGGACAAUAUGAAGUCCUCAAGGCAUGUGAAGAGGAGACUGAAAUCUGUCAGAAAAUUGAGGAACUCCGGAGUUAUUACGUUAGAUUAUAUCCAAACAUCGAAAAAUUUGGCAGAUCCCUUCACAAAGGGUCUAUCACGUAAUGUGAUAGAUAAUGCAUCGAUGGAGAUGGGUCUGAGACCCACCGCAUGAGUUGUCCAUAGUGGUAACCCACUAUGUGAUCGGAGAUCCCGUGAAGUAGAAGUGGGAGACAAGCUGUUGGUCAGCUGAGAGGAGAGUAUCCCUAUAUUACCUAUCCCACUCCAUGAAGAUGCAAUACUCUCCUGAUCUGCAUGGCAGGUUGAUACUUAUUUUAAUGUGUUCCAAGUGGCUUAUUAGGGUAAGUAAAGAUGUUGUCCUGCAGAACAUCUUCUGAAGAACACACCUAUAUGAAUUUGACUGUUAACGUCGCAGUCUGUGAGAAUUGGGUGUUCUCUAAUAUAUUCAUGAAAAGGCCCUAGAGUAUGACGUAUACACUCCACCCGCGGGGAAGCCUUGCGGCAGCCCAGUAUCGGUCAAGAAUUUGUGUGAAACUAGUCUCGCAGAAAACUUGUAGUUCAAGGCAUAGUCCACUAUUCAAGUUGUGAUCUAGUGUAGCAUAAAUCUCUAAGUGAAAGUUCAACUUCACAGUCUCCACUAAGAACCGGUAUAUAAACAAUGUUUUGGAACUAAAUGAUGAGAUGUGCCAAUGAGACUUUGUGGGGGAUUGUUGGAAUUUUGCUAGUAGGCCUUUGGCCCAAAGCCCAACUAAAAUUCUGAAAUUCUCUUGGCCCAUUCAUGCACACAUGUGAGUGAAGUGAGUGAGACUAAAGUUUAGUCUCACCCCGGAAGUUGAGAGAGAGUUGCACCUCUUUAUAAGGUGAGCUCUUCUACCACUUGUAUGAGCAUGAGAAGAGGAGACCUACACGCGCGCUCCUCCUCCUCGCUUGCCUCUCCACGCCACGCCUCAUCACGACGCGCCGCGGGUUGCAGGAUUGAGCCGAGCCGAGGACAGAGCUAUGCACAUUGUCUAUAUUUUUGCUGCUCGAUAAAAAUUAAUGAGUCAUUAGUUAAUAAUUAAUGGACCCGUUAAUUACUGAACCGUUUCCGAUUCUUUUGGAUCGUGAUGACUUGGACGUGGGGUUUACUCCCACGACCUACCCGGCCCGCACUACAUAGUUAGGCAGACGUCUACCCUAGCCGCCGCCGCUUCGUAUGGUUUCUCACCACCAUUCCAGAUCAUUGCGCCGCCAAGCAAGUCUUCUCCAUCCCUCCUUUCGGCGUGCACCGGGAGAAGGGACAACAGGCCUCCGGAACCCCGCCUCUCGUGAUCCUGUGUGGGAGAGGGGCGAUCAGAUUUUUGGGAAGCGCACUCGCGCGACUGCUGGCAGCGACGACUUCGCGAACGACAACUUCUUCCCCGACCUCGGCAACCUCAUCCUCAACGACAUGGGCGACAACGUCAACGCCGGUGGUGCUGCACCCGCUGCACCAUAUGUUAUUCUAUCCUUCUUGUUCAAGAUCGUGGUAGAAUUCAUGUUUUUAGUAUGUGCCCUAGAUGUGAUCUGUGCAUCUACUAUGCUAGUUCGCAUGAUUAGUUUAAUCUCUGCUAUUGCUGUCAUGAUCUAUUUCCUAUUUAUUUGGAUUAAAUCUCGUAGUAAUUUGCUCAUUUUUCCAACACUAUCCACCUCGCUGUCCACCGUCCACCACUAUCCACUAGAGUCGGCAGAAGCUCUCCUCCGGCGGCAGCAGCAACCAUCCCCGCCUUCGCCGUCCAGCAGCCCCAACUGCCGCCUCCCGCGACAACAGAGCAAGGUGAGGAUGCUUGACUGAAUCCCAAAAAUGUCAAAACUGAAAAUUUGAGUACUGUACUCACCGUGAAACUGAGAUCUGCUUGUACUAUCAUAAUUUUCCAUUUUGAAACUAAGAUCUGCUUGUACUGUCAUAAUUUUCAGUUUGUAAAAUUGGAGUACUGCAGAAGUGUAUUUUCCAUUUUGAAACUGAAAAUAAACUGUCAAAACUGAAAAUUUGCAAGAGCUUUGCUAGCAGUCCUUUUUUUGAACUGUCCAGCGAAAGGAACAUGGUUAAGUAGGAGGUGUUGCCAAUCAGUUAGUAGCAUAAUUAGUUAAUUACUAAGCUGGAGAAUUUUUGCUAUAUUUAGGACAAUCCAUGAGGUAUACUUAGAUACAAAAAAUUAUGUUUGUAUGUUGUUUAACCCUGACCUGUUCAGUACAGGCGAGCACCUAGAUUGAAUUCUGAUUCCAUCAUGAUUUUCAUUGGCUGAAUGUUCUGCAAUAUGCAUGUUGAUAAUCAUGCAGGUGAGCCAAUUUCACAGAAUUUUUUUCCUAAUCAAUUUGCAAGAGGUCACCAAAUAUGGCAGGAACAAAGUGUAAGGUAACUACUCCAAGUUGCCUUUGCAUGGUUAGUCAAGUUGUACUCCCAAGUGUCUAGUAGUGCAAACACUUGCACUCUCAAGUGACUAGGAGUAUGACAAAUUCAGUCUGAAUUUAAACAUUGUGACAAGAAAACUGAAAUUUUAUGAAAAGAAAAUAUUAUGUGGAGUGUUUGCUUGCUUUUAGUUUGAAAUUUUAGCUCAUUCAGUGAAAAAACUUGAGCAAUUAUUUGCAGGAGUGAUAAACUUGACAAGAGUAUUCCUACCUACUGGAGUACUCCCUCCAUUCCCUUAUACAUGGCCACUUCAUUUUUCGUGUUGAACUUUGACUUAUAAUUUUGAUCAACAAAUAUUGAUUAUAUGCCAUCACAAAUAUAUCAUCAGAAAGUUCUUUGAAACGUGCAUCCAAUGAAAUAAUUUUGUUGGCAUAUAACUCACUUUUUUAGUAAAAUUAAUGGUCAAAGUUAGACAUAAGAAUGUGAAGUGGCCUUGCAUAAGGGAAUAGAGGGAGUAAUUAUUCAUUGACACAAGUAAUUGAUUACACAAGAUCAUACAUGGAUUACAUAGGGAUUUUAAUUUCAAAGGUAUCAUAUCCAGGCUUUUCAUCCGUUUGUCCUCUAAUUUGGCAUAUUCAGACACAUUCAGUUAUUUAGCACAUUCGGUUAUUUAUACACAUUCAGUUAAACAUAUGGAACAGAUACUCCAUAUUCAGGCAUUCAGAUACUUCAUAUUUUGACAUCCAGUUAAACAUUCAGAUGAGAGAAAGACAGCUACUAUUAAAAUGCUUUGGCAUGCUUGUCUGAAUGCCUGUGGCAUAUGCCAAAUUCCACAAAGUCUGAAGUCCCAAAGUGCCAGGUCAAAGAAAAUCCAGUAGCAUAUCAUGAUCAAUUUACCGAUUUCCUGAUUGAGUGCUUCUAAAAUAGUAGUAGAUCAAUUAACAUCAUGUCAUUUUCUGAUUGGAUGUUUCCAAAAUUAACAUGAUCAAUUUAACAUCGUGCCUAGCAGCAGGAAUACCAGUAGCAGCAGCAGAGGCAAGGCAGACGAGGUUGCCCAGAGGAGGGGCGAUUUCGUGUGAGGUCGAAGCAGCAACAACAGUAGGCAUUGGCGGCGGGGGCAAGGAGAGGACAUUGCGAGAGGCCCGUGUGACAGCAGGGUGGCGGCGUGCGAGGGGCUGGGUGGUUGCGUGUGGCGGCGUUGGUCACUCCGAUCACGUGCAACCAAAACGAAAAGGCUCAUGAGAUCCGAUCCAAUCAAUUCCAUGCGUCUGUGUCCCAGUAGUUUUGAAUUCCUUGUAUGGACCAUCAGUUUCAUUUAUAGGAAAAGUUGCAGUAAAGCUCCCAUGCGGGUGCACCCUUAGGGCACGUGGCAUAUGGAUACAGAUGUCCCAUUGAUAAAAAGUAGAUUUAGGAAUUUAUGUUGAUUUUUUUCUUCACAGUGCAAGCUACUACUAAUGGGCAUCAUCAAGAAAUAUAAAGUAGACUCUCACAACACAUGAAUCCCUACUCUCCAGUUCAACUUUUCCAACUUUAUGCAUCGGACCAUACUUUUUCUCUCCAAGCGCCCGCCUCCUACAGGGGAUCCCACUUCCCUAUCCGAACCUACUUUUCCUGCAUUUGAUCCUACAUGGCAUGUGAGGCAUCAUCCUGGGUCUAUGCAUUGGUCAUGCCCUAGACCAUCCAAUUUCUACGGACAAAAGUCUGUCUCUUAGCCGGUGAUGGCAACACCUGUGGAUGUUGCUUCCUUGUUAAAGGCAUCACCAAGCAAUUUUCGCAUCUACCAUGCUCUCGAGUUCGGUCUCCGGGUGAAAACCGAGAUUUGCUUGUCGGAUCGGCGAUGGCGGCGCUCUUGGUGUUGUUUCUUCGAUGGAAGCAUUGUUUUGGAGAUUUGACCUCUUGGCAUGAGCUCCUUGUCUGUGGUUUAGUGGUUGGCCGGAGCUUCCAAUGGUGCAAUGUCCGUGGUGGUGCACAAGGUUGUGGCCAACACUUGGCUGGCGGUGUUGCACGAUUUGAGCACUCUUAACAUGCAGGCAAUGCUAGACAAGUCAGGUUGGUUGUCCUCGCGGGAUCGGAGCGGCACAUGCCCGCUCCUCUAUCGGAUAUGUCUUCUCUCUCCGGUGUCGAGGAGGCCUUCCAACAUGCUUGUGGCAGUCAUGAUCAUUACGACGGAAUGGUGCUCUUGGGUGAAGUCUCGGUGAAGUCGAAGUCGCCGGGCCAUGAGCGCGGAUGGUGAUAUACGAUGACAUCAACCUCCUUAGCGAUGUGCCUUUCUGUUUGUGUUGUGUUGGCUCGGCCUUUUGGCAUGUUUGUAUGUCUCAUGUGCUUUAGACCUAGUUCAGCUAGGUGUUGUGGGUGGUGUGUCUUCUGUACAGGUUUUCACCCGGUUUCCCUUGAUAAACCGAGCAGUCUUAGCCAUCGGCUUCUUCUUCUCCAAUGAAAUCUUAGCAGCUCUCCUGCUAACUUUUGAAAAAAAAUUGCAUCAAAGUUCAUACACGUAGAAAUUUCCCCUUUUUGUUUCUCAACAAGAAAACAUUUGGACUCAAAUCUGUACAGUUCAACAUCACACAAGCAUUCCUAUGAGCAGAAAUUGUUUCAGAUUAUUAGGACCAUCUGAAAUAUCUGAAAUGAUAGCUUCAUUCUAAAUUCUCACAUUUAAGAAAUUUAUGUUCCACCAAAAAAUUAAAAACAUUUUCUGCAUAGAAUGCUACCUGUGUGACUGUUGACUUGCCAAGUUUCAAGUUCGAUGCCUUCUAGUUUGAAAUAAAUGAAAAGGAAAGUUUCUAUGCAGAGAUGGUACCACUAGUAGAAAAAUGGGCUUUCUUUCGGACCUGGCCAGCCCAUUAGUCCCGGUUCUUCCAUGAACCAGGACCAAUAGAUGCAUUCGUCCUGGUUCGUGAGCCCAGGGGGGCGGCCGGGGCCUCGUGGGCAUUGGUCCCGGUUCGUAUGGACCCAUUUGUCCCGGUUCCAGGCACGAACUGGGACCAAUGGUCCUCGCUCCUGGCCCACAAACAUUGGUCCCGGUUCUUGGCUCGAACCGGGACAGAAGGCUGGGCUUUAGUUCCGGUUCCAGCCAUGAACCGGGACAAAUGAGUUGCCUAUAUAUAUACCCCGUCCCUGCAGCAGAGCACUCCACAGUGCUCUGUUUUUUUUGGCCGGCGAGGAGAGGGCAUUUGGGUGCUCUAGCUCACCUCCUAUGCACACGAGGUAUUCGAUGAAAUGCCCAAGCCACGCUAGUUAAGCUUUCUCCUCUCGAAGCUCGACCUCCAAGCUCCAUUUCCCCCGAGAUUUGUCUAGGUUUAGCGGUCCGUCCCGUCCCGUCCCCGUCUUCACCGCCGUCGAUCGCCCGCGCCGAUCUCGUCGCCUGCACCACUGUGGUGAGCCUCUUAUCUUCUUCUGAAAGAAAAAAAAUCUUACUUUAGAUAGAUACUUGUCUAAUUUUCUUACUUCUAUUAUUGCUUGUGCUUAUAUAGUGCGAUGGUUUUGGUAUCCGCCCCCGUCGGCCCUCGUCCUCGCUAUGAUUCGGAUGUGGUAUAUAUUAUCUUUUAUAACUAUUUGGUUCAUUUAUUGUUCAUGACAAUUAUGCCCAUCAAGUUGACAUAGAUUUUAUUUAUGUAGGAAGUAGUUGAACCGGAAAUUCCAACAAACCCUAUGAUAGGUAGGUAUGGUGGCUGUUUUGAGGAAGGUAUUUGGUGGGUGUAUGAUACCGGCGAAAAGUGAGCAUUAUUAGAGAGGCUAGCAAUGGUGGAAGGAAGGAAUGUGCGUAUAAUCCAUGAAAUCAUCAUUAGUCAUAAAGAACUCAUAUACUUAUUGCAAAAAUCUAGAAGUUAUCAAAGCAAAGUAUUACGCGCAUGCUCCUAGGGGGAUAGAUUGGUAGGAAAAGACCAUCGCUCGUCCCCGACCGUCACUCAUAAGGAAGACAAUCAAUAAAUAAAUCAUGCUUCGACUUCAUCACAUAAUGGUUCACCAUACGUGCAUGCUACGAGAAUCACAAACUGUAACACAAGCAUUUCUCAAAUUCACAACUACUCAACUAGCAUGACUCUAAUAUCACCAUCCUAAUAUCUCAAAACAAUUAUCAAGCAUCAAUUUUUUUCUUAGUAUUCAACGCACUCAAAAGAAAGUUUUUCAAAUCUUGAAUACCAAGCAUAUUUAUUAUUAAGCAAAUUACCAUGCUAUUAAGACUCUCAAAAUAAUCUAAGUGAAGCAUGAGAGAUCAAUAGUUUCUAUAAAACAAAUCCACCACCGUGCUCUAAAAGAUAUAAGUGAAGCACUAGAGCAAAAUUAUAUAACUCAAAAGAUAUAAGUGAAGCACAUAGAGUAUUCUAUCAAAUUCCAAAUUAUGUAUGGCUCUCUCAAAAGGUGUGUACAGCAAGGAUUAUUGUGGUAGACUAACAAGCAAAGACUCAAAUCAUAAAAGACGCUCCAAGCAAAACACAUAUCAUGUGGUGAAUAAAAAUAUAGCUCCAAGUAAAGUUACCGAUAGAAGUAGACGAAAGAGGGGAUGCCUUCCGGGGCAUCCCAAGCUUUGGCUUUUAGGUGUCCUUAGAUUAUCCUGGGGGUGCCAUGGGCAUCCCCAAGCUUAGGCUCUUUCCACUCCUUGUUCCAUAAUCCAUCAAAUCUUUACCCAAAACUUGAAAACUUCACAACACAAAACUCAAAGUAGAAAAUCUCGUGAGCUCCGUUAGCGAAAGAAAACAAAAGACCACUUCAAGGUACUGUAAUGAACUCAUUCUUUAUUUAUAUUGGUGUUAAACCUACUGUGUUCCAACUUCUCUAUGGUUUAUAAACUAUUUUACUAGCCAUAGAUUUAUCAAAAUAAGCAAACAACACACAAAAAACAGAAUCUGUCAAAAACAGAACAGUCUGUAGUAAUCUUUAGCUAGCGCAAGAUCUGGAACCCCAAAAAUUCUAAAAUAAAUUGCUGGACGUGAGGAAUUUAUAUAUUAAUCAUCUGCAAAAAUAAUUAACUAAAUAGUACUCUCCAAAUAAAAAUGACAGCAGUUCUCGUGAGCGCUAAAGUUUCUGUUUUCUACAGCAAGUUCAACAAGACUUUCCCCAAGUCUUCCCAACGGUUCUACUUGGCACAAACACUAAUUAAACACAAAAAAAACAACCAAAAAAGAGGCUAAAUAAUUUAUUUAUUACUAAACAGGAUCAAAAAGCAAGGAAUAAAAAUAAAAUUGGGUUGCCUCCCAACAUGCGCUAUCGUUUAACGCCCUUAGCUAGGCAUAACAAGCAAGAAUAGAUCUAGGUAGGCAAUCCAUAAGUGGCUCUCAUGAUAGAUUCAUAUGGUAAUUUUAUUUUUAUUUCUAGGGAAGUGUUCCAUGCCCUUUUUUAAUGGAAAUUAGAAUCUAAUAUUCCCUUCGUUCAUAUCAAUAAUUACACCAACCGUUCUAAGGAAAGGUCUACCGAGAAUAAUAGGGCAAGAACGAUUGCAAUCUAUAUCAAGAAUGAUAAAAUCUACGGGCACAUAAUUUCUAUUUGCAACAAUAAGAACAUCAUUAAUUCUUCCCAUAGGUUUCUUAAUAGUGGAAUCCGCAAGAUGCAAGUUUAUAGAGCAAUCAUCAAAAUCACGGAAAUCUAGCAAAUCACACAAAGUUUUGGGAAUAGUAGAGACACUAGCACCCAAAUCACACAAAGCAUAAAACUCAUGAUCUUUAAUUUUAAUUUUAAUAGUUGGUUCCCACUCAUCAUAAAGUUUUCUAGGGAUAGAAACUUCCAAUUCAAGUUUUUCUUCAUAAGAUUGCAUCAAGGCAUCAACGAUAUGUUUAGUAAACGCUUUAUUUUGACUAUAAGCGUGAGGAGAAUUUAGCACGGAUUGCAACAAGGAAAUACAAUCAAUCAAAGAGCAAUUUUCAUAGUUAAAUUACUUGAAAUCCAUAAUAGUGGGUUUAGCAACAUCUAGGGUUUUAAUUUCUUCAAUCCCACUUUUAUCAAAUUUAGCAUCAAGAUCAAAAGAUUCAGAAUUCUUAGAACGCCUUCUAGGAAAAGGUGGAUCAUAUUCAGUCCCAUCAUUAUCAAGAUUAAUAUUGCAAAACAAAUAUUUAAUACGGGACACAUCAAUAACUUUUAGAUCUUCAUCAUUAUUUUCAUAGGAACUAGAAGAACACGCUUUUAUAAAGGCAUCUUUCUUAGCACGCAUCCUAGCGGUUCUUUCUUUGCACUCGUCAAUGGAAAUUCUCAUGGAUUUGAGAGACUCAUUGAUAUCAUGCUUAGGUGGAAUAGAUCUAAGUUUCAAAGAAUCAACAUCAAGAGCAAUUCUAUCAACGUUCCUAGCCAAAUCAUCAAUCUUAAGUAUUUUUUCUUCAAUCAUAGCAUUAAAAUUCUUUUUUGAAGAAAUAAAUUCUUUAAUAUUAGAUUCAAAAUCAGAGGGAAUCAUUAUAAUUUUCAUAAGAAUUGUUGUAGGAAUUACCAUAAUUAUUAGAGGGAUUACUAGGAUAAGGCCUAGGGUUGAAAUUUCCUCUAUACGCGUUGUUACCAAAAUUGUUCCUACCAACAAAAUUCGCAUCCAUAGAUUCAUUAUUAUUAUCAAUCAAAGUAGACAAGGGCACAUCAUUAGUAUCAAAAGAAACACUCUUAUUAGCAAAUAAUUUCAUAAGUUCAUCCAUCUUUCCACUCAAAACAUUAAUUUCUUCUAUCGCAUGCACCUUUUUAUUAGUAGAUCUUUCAGUAUGCCAUUGAGAAUAAUUAACCAUAAUAUUAUCUAGGAGUUUAGUAGCUUCUCCUAAAGUGAUUUCCAUAAAAGUGCCUCCCGCGGCCGAAUCUAAAAGAUUUCUAUAAGCAAAAUUCAAUCCGGCAUAAAAAUUUUGUAUAAUCAUCCACAAAUUUAAACCAAGAGUAGGGCAAUUACGUAUCAUUAAUUUCAUUCUCUCCCAAGCUUGUGCAACAUGUUCAUGAUCAAGUUGCUUAAAAUUCAUAAUAUCGUUUCUAAGAGAGAUGAUCUUAGCGGGAGGAAAAUACUUAGAGAUAAAAGCAUCUUUGCACUUGUUCCAUGAGUCAAUACUAUUUUUAGGCAAAGAUGAAAACCAAGUUUUAGCACGAUCUCUAAGCGAAAAAGGAAAUAGCUUCAAUUUAACAAUAUCAUUAUCGACAUCUUUCUUAUUUUGCAUGUCACACAAAUCAACGAAGCUAUUAAGAUGGGUAGCGGCAUCUUCACUAGGAAGGCCGGAGAACGGAUCUUUCAUGACAAGAUUUAGCAAAGCAGUUUUAAUUUCACAAGAUUCAGCAUCGGUAAGAGGAGCAAUCAGAGUGCUAAGGAAAUCAUUGUUGUUGGUAUUGGUGAAGUCACACAAUUUAGUAUUAUCUUGAGCCAUCGCGACAAACAAGCAAACUAACACACAAGCAAACAAAAAGGCAAACAGGCAAAAAGAGGCAAAUAGAGAAAGAGAGGGAGGAUAGAGAGAGAGGGUGAAUAAAAUGGCAAGGGUGAAUUGGGGGGGAGAGGAAAACGAGAGGCAAAUGGCAAAUAAUGUAAUGCGGGAGAUAGGGAUUGUGAUGGGUACUUGGUAUGUUGACUUUUGCGCAGACUCCCCGACAACGGCGCCAGAAAUUCUUCUUGCUACCUCUUGAGCACUAUAUUGGAUUUCCCCGAAGAGGAGAGGAUGAUGCAGCAAAGUAGCGUAAGUAUUUCCCUCAGUUUUUGAGAACCUAGGUAUCAAUCCAGUAGGAGGCUACGCGCGAGUCCCUCAUACCUACACAAAAACAAUAGCUCAACACAACCAACGCGCUUAGGGGUUGUCAAUCCCUUCACGGUCACUUAUGAAAGUGAGAUCUGAUAGAGAUGAUAAAUAAUAUUUUUGGUAUUUUUGGUAUAGAGAUGCAACGUGAAAAGUAAAAGGCAAAGUAAAAAAAGCAAAGCAAUAAUAAAGUGAUGGAGAUUAAUAUGAUGAGAAGAGACCCAGGGGCCAUAGGUUUCACUAGUGGCUUCUCUCAAGAGCAUAAGUAUUCUACGGUGGGUGAACAAAUUACUGUUGAGCAAUUGACAGAAUUGAGCAUAGUUAUGAGAAUAUCUAGGUAUGAUCAUGUAUAUAGGCAUCACGUCCGAGACAAGUAGACCGACUCCUGCCUGCAUCUAUUACUAUUACUCCACUCAUCGACCGCUAUCCAGCAUGCAUCUAGAGUAUUAAGUUAAAAACAGAGUGAUGCCUUAAGCAAGAUGACAUGAUGUAGAGGGAUAGUUUCAUGCAAUAUGAUAAAAACCCCAUCUUGUUAUCCUCGAUGGCAACGAUACAAUACGUGCCUUGCUGCCCCUUCUGUCACCGGGAAAGGACACCGCAAGAUCGAACCCAAAGCUAAGCACUUCUCCCAUGGAAAGAACAACCAAUCUAGUAGGCCAGACCAAACUGAUAAUUCGAAGAGACUUGCAAAGAUAACCAAUCAUACAUAAAAGAAUUCAGAGAAGAUUCAAAUAUUAUUCAUAGAUAGACUUGAUCAUAAACCCACAAUUCAUCGAUCUCAACAAACACACCGCAAAAAGAAGAUUACAUCGAAUAGAUCUCCAGGAGAGAGGGGGAGAACAUUGUAUUGAGAUCCAAAAAGAGAGAAGAAGCCAUCUAGCUACUAACUAUGGACCCGUAGGUCUGAAGUAAACUACUCACACUUCAUCGGAGGGGCUUGGAUGAUGAUGUAGAAGCCCUCCGUAAUCGAUGCCCCCUCCGGCGGAGCUCUGGAACAGGCCCCAAGAUGGGAUCUCGUGGAUACAGAAAGUUGCGGCGGUGGAAUUAGGUUUUUGGCUCUGUAUCUGAUCGUUUGGGGGUACGUGGAUAUAUAUAGGAGGAAGAAGUACGUCGAUGGAGCAACAGGGGGCCCACGAGGGUGGAGGGCACGCCUAGGGGGGGCAGGCGCGCCCCCCUACCUCGUGGCCUCCUGUUAAUUGGCUUGACGUAGGGUCCAAGUCUCCUGAGUUGUAUUCGGUGAGAAAAUCACGUUCCCAAAGGUUUCAUUCCGUUUGGACUCUGUUUGAUAUUCCUUUUCUUCGAAACCCUAAAACAAGCAAAAAACAGUAAUUCUGGGCUAGGCCUCCGGUUAAUAGGUUAGUCCCAAAAAUAAUAUAAAAGUGGAUAAUAAAGCCCAAUAAUGUCCAAAACAGUAGAUAAUAUAGCAUGGAGCAAUCAAAAAUUAUAAAUACAUUGAAGACGUAUCAGCUUCCAACCGGACCAAAGGCCCUCCCGCUUGGGCUCGCCGGAGCGGCCACGUGGAGGCCCAUCUAUCCCGGUUCAUAUAAGAACCAGGACUAAAGGCCAGGGGCAUUAGUAACGACCCUUUAGUCACGGUUCCCCAAUUGGGACAGAUGGGCCUUAUGAACCGGGACAAAUGGGCCUUUUUCUACUAGUGUGCAUGCCCAGGAUCCGGCUCCCCCCUCCCCCUCACCACCAACGACCAAGAGGUCGCCGGCGGAGGGGAGCCGCAGGAAAACGACGUAAGAAGGGUUGCCCCUCUUGGUGGCGGCUAGGGUUCUGGUUGCUAGCCAAACCAGAGAGGAAAAUAUUGAUAUAUAGUAAGAGAUAUGUAAUCAAUAAAGCUCCAUUCGGAAGUGACCUUGUAGGCGGGGGGUGUUUGGACUACUGCCUCUUUCAAGGUUAUGUGUACUAUGAAAGACUACGUCUUUGAUGCAUGAGAGGACCAAAUUUUUGUAGCUCUUUAUGAGCACGAUAUCCAUUUCUUUCAUGCCAGUUGUUGUCAUGCGAGCAAGGUAGUGGCGAGGAUGUUCUCAUGACUGACGACUAAUUCAAACUUGAAGAGUGUCUCACCUAGAAUGGGUCGGACCACCACCAGGGCCUCUCCUAGAACUUCCUUGUGGUGGGGUCCUCUCUGGUUUCAGUGGGGAAGGCUCUACGAGGAUGGAUCGACGAUGACAUGCCAGAUGCAUGAUGAGUGUGACAGCAGCGAAGAAGAUGUGUGAUUAGUGGUGCUGGCGUAGGGAGUGAGAAAAUUUAUAUACCCAGGAAAGGGCGCACUUUGGUGAAAAAAGGACAAGAAAUGGCGCACAUAGGAGGGAAUUGGUGCGAUCAUUUGAGACACAUGGCGACGACCAUCAAUGAGUGCUCUUUUUGAUGGAAAUUGCGGUUGCGCCAUUGGUAGGAGUAGAAGAGGGAGGAAGAACGUGACUGAAGUUUCCCUCCACGUGGACAGUUGGAUAUAGAGUUCGCUCUAUAUCAUUGUCCCCGAGUCUCCAAAUAUGAAGGGCGCGGCUCACUAUUUGAAGUGUGUGACAAAAGUAAUGGAGCCAUGGACCAUUAUGUCAACAAUUGCUACACUUACAGACACAAUUCUACGGAAUUGCCUCCCAGAAUGAUGUGGACAAAUGAAGGGGAUGAGGUUACAAUCGUCCGCGGGGGGAGGGGGGGUCAUGCUGGAAUCAUGUUGUGGAAUUAGAGCAUACGUCAAGCAUGUAAGUGGUAAGUGUACCGUUUCUGUCAUUUAUGGUGACUCUGAUAGACUCCUUUUUGGGUCCUCGAAUUCCUUAUAGACAUCAUGAAGAUUAACAUUGGACCAAUAUGACACAUCUGCUAUAGUUGCUAUUUUAUGUGUAUUGGUUGAUGGUAUACGAUGCCAUUUUUAUCAAAUCACAAUUCCAUGAUAGUCCAUCCUUGCUUACAUGUCCAUGCUAUCUAAGCUCUACAUGUCAUGAUUAGUACUCCUUUCAUUCGGAAUUACUUGUCCUUCAGAUGGACGUAUCUAGAAGUAAUUUUGGACAAGGUAGUAUUAGCGAAUGAUGGUUUGUGGCUCGUCGGCUAUACUAGAAGGAAAAGCAUGCUAACUUAAGCUGAUCAAGUUUUCUGAUGAAUUCUAUGCAAAUCCAUGUGACAUUUUUUCACUUAUGAAGGAUAACCAGCAAAUAAACACUCACCAUUUUGAAAACUAGAAAAUCCAAAAUGUAGCUAGGGAAAUAGAAACUCAUAAUCAGCCAUUCAGAGAGGCAAGCCUGGCAAAACUCCCAUUGUUUUCUUUAUUUGUUUUUUGAGAGGAACUGGCAUCGUUUUCAGAACAGAGAGGAGGGCCUCAGGGUGUGAUUGGUUCAGCCAGGAGAUUGCAACGUGUGGAUUCCUCAACAGCCUAGGUGAGGAAGAACACCGAACAUCCAACUCAAUAAAAAUGGUGAUGAAGAACACUUGCAAAGUUGCAACCGAAACAAAAAGGCUCCGAGAUCAGAUCCGCUGGGAUCGAUCUUGUUGUUUGUACAUAGCUGAAGGUUCCACUCAAAACAAAAGGCAAACGCAUUUCGCCCAAAUGAAACUGGAGACGCGUCAACCUGGCAUGCAAUCUGGUAGAAUCUGUUGGAGGUUCUAUAUACUUGUGCGACAAGAUAUUUGUUCGACUAUGAGGCGUGAUACGACUUCGUCGCGGGAGGCUGGGCUGGGAGUGAUCAGACGUGCGGCCCUUUUCUGAAGCCGGAAGUAACAGGCUGAUCACCCGACGCAUCCUGCUUUUUCCAACUUCAUGAACUCUUACCAAAUUCGUGAUCCAUUUUUCAAAUUCAUGAAAAUUUUCUAAAUUUGUAAAAAAAAAACUCAAAUUCAUGAUGUUUUAAAAUUCACAAACUCUUUUCUAAUUUAUGAACUUUUUCCAAAUUUUCGAUCCUUUCUAGAACCCAUUGUAUGUUCAUGACUUUUUAAAUUCCUGGUUUUUUCCAACAAAACAUGUAUGCUUUUCUUUCAGAAUCAGCAGCCAUUGGUUUUUUUAUUGAUAGUGAGCAGAGAAUGAGGUGAUUUAUUUAGAUGAGGGGCGGAUGCUAUUUUGUGAAUUUUUGCAAACAUUUGGUUUACAAAUUUGUGAAUUUAUUUUCAAUUAUGAACAAUUUCUAACAAGCGAACAUACAAAAAAAAUCGCAAUCAUUUAUUUUAAAUUCGUGACAUUUAUUUGAAACUCUUGAUCAUUUUUAAGAAGUGUCAAACAUUUUUUUAACCUGAGAUUUGUUUUCAAACUCACAAACAGUAAUUUUGUUUUGUCAAACAUUUUUUGAGAUGCAGGAACAUUUGUUCACCCAAAAAAUAUUUAUUGUGGCAGUGAAAUUUUUAUAAAAUUUGGGAACAUUUUCUGAUAUUUGUGAACAUUCGUUACAUAUUCUUGAACAUUUUUAAAUUUGCCACAUUUGAUCAAAUUGACGAACAUUUUUGUGAACACGCAAACCUUUUAAAAAAACAUGAUUUUUUUAUUUCCUUAAUUUUUUGGGAAAGUCAUGAUUUUCUUAAUACGCAGACAUAAUUUUUCAAAAUGAUGAAUAUCUAAAGAUUUCCCGAGUAUUUUUAAAAUUCAUGAACAUUUUUUGAAUUGGGGAACAUGUUUUCUUGAACAUUAUUUCCAUUCGCAACUUUUUUAGACUGGAAUUUUUUGAAAUCCUAAAUUAUUGUAAAGAAUAAAAAAUGAAAGAAAAAACAAAAAUAUAGGAACAAAAUUGAAAUGAAAAAAACAAGGGUUCUCCCCCACGGGACAUGGGCCGGCCCAAAAGGCGCGUGAGGGGGGAGGACGGUGUGCAAUUGCUGCUUCAUGAGCGCGCAAACGUUCACAAUUUUCAAAAAAAGUCCAUGAAUUUGAAAAAGGUUUAUGUAUUUUGGGCAGAAGUUCGCGAAUUUGAAAAAGGUUCCUCAUUUUUUUCAAAUAUUUCUCCAAGUUGGAAAAAAUCCACAGAUUUGAUAGAAGUUCAUCGAUUUUGAAAAAGUAUCGUGAACUUAAAAAAAUGUUCUUCUAGGCACGAAGGAAGGCAAAAGGGACAUCUACAAGAUGGCCAAGAUCCACAAGAGGAAGACGAGGGAUGUUGGCCAAGUCAAAUGCAUCAAGGACGGAGCAGACCAACUCCUGGUGAAGGACGAGGAGAUUAAGCAUAUAUGGCGAGAGUACUUUGACAAGCUGUUCAAUGGGGAGAAUGAGAGUUCUACCAUAGAACUGGACGACUUGUUUGAUGAGACCAGCGUGUGUUUUGUGCGGCGGAUCCAUGAGUCUGAGAUCAAGGAGGCUUUAAAAAGAAUGAAAGAAGACAAGGCGAUGGUCCCUAAUUGUAUCCCCAUUGAGGUGUGGAAAGGCCUCGGGAACAUAGCGAUAGUAUGGCUAACCAAACUUUUCAAUCUCAUUUUUCGGGAAAACAAGAUGUCAGAAGAAUGGAGACGGAGUAUAUUACUACCAAUCUUCAAGAACAAGGAGGAUGUUUAGAGUUGUACUAAUUACCGUGAAAUUAAGAUGAUGAGUCAUAUAAUGAAGCUAUGGGAGAGAGUCAUUGAGCAUCACUUAAGAAGAAUGACAAGCGUGACAAAAAAUUAGUUUGGUUUCAUGCCUGGGAGGUCGACCAUGAAAGCCAUUUUCUUGGUACGACAACUUAUGAAGAGAUACAAGGAGCAAAUGAAGGACUUGCAUAUGGUGUUCAUUAACUUGAAGAAAGCCUAUGAUAAGAUAUUGCGAAAUGUCAUGUGGUGGGCCUUGGAGAAACAUAAAGUCUCAGCGAAGUACAUUACCCUCAUCAAGGACAUGUAUGAUAAUGUUGUGACAAGUGUUCGAACAAGUGAUGUCGACACAGAUAACUUCCCGAUUAAGAUAGGACUGCACCAGGGGUCAGCAUUGAGCCCUUAUCUUUUUGCCUUGGUGAUGGAUGAGGUCACAAGGGAUAUACAAGGAGAUAUCCCAUGGUGUAUGCUCUUUGUGGAUGAUGUUGUGCUAGUUGAUGAUAGUUGGACGGGGGUAAAUAGAAAGUUAGAGUUAUGGAGACAAACCAUGGAAUCAAAAGGGUUUAGACUUAGUAGAACUAAAACCGAGUACAUGAUGUUCGGUUUCAGUACUACUAGGCGCGAGGAGGAGGAGGGUUGCCUUGAUGGGCAUGUGGUGCCUCAGAAGGACACCUUUCGAUAUUUGGGGUCAGUGCUGUAGAAGGAUGGGGGUAUUGAUGAAGAUGUGAACCAUCGUAUCAAAUCCGGAUAGAUGAAGUGCCGCCAAGUUUCUGGCAUUCUCUGUGACAAGAGAGUACCACAAAAGUUAAAAAGAAAGUUCUACAGGACGGCUGUUCGACCUGCAAUGUUGUAUGGCGCUGAGUGUUGGCCGACUACAAGGUGACAUGUUCAACAGUUAGGUAUGGUGGAGAUGCGUAUGUUGAGAUGGAUGUGUGGCCACACGAGGAAUGAUCGAGCCCGAAAUGAUAAUAUACGAGAUCUAGUUGGGGUAGCACAAAUUAAAGAGAAGCUUGUUCAACAUCGUCUGAGAUAGUUUGGGCAUAUUCAGCGCAGGCCUCCAGAAGCUCCAGUGCAUAGCGGACGACUAAAGCGUGCAGAGAAUGUCAAGAGAGGUUCGGGUAGACCGAAUUUAACAUGGGAGGAGUCCAUAAAGAGAGAUCUGAUUGAAGUAUCACCAAAAAACUAGCUAUGGACAGGGGUGCAUAGAAGCUUGCUAUCCAUGUGCCCGAACCAUGAGUUGAUCGCGAGAUCUUAUGAGUUUUACCUCUAACCUACCUCAACUUGUUUGGGACUAAAGGCUUUGUUGUUGUUCUUCUAUUUUGAAAACACAAGAAUAUUUAAAAAGUCUAUUGGAUUAUAAAAAUGUUCAUGGAUUUGAAAAAAAUAGUGAUUUAAAAAAGCUCAUGGAUCUUGAAAUAGUCCACUAAUUUUGAAAACAAAAUUUAAAAAAUUUGGAAAAAAUCGUGGAUUAUGAAAGAUAUCACGGAUUUCAAAAACAUUUAUCAAUUUGAAUACAUUCAUGCAUUUGAAUUGAAGUUUGCAGAUUUUAAAAAAGUUCAUGUGGUUUGAAAAAAUGUUCACGGAUUUGAGAAAAUUUCAUGAAUCUAAAAAACAGUUUGGAAAUUCAAAAGGCAACGAAAUUUGAAAACAAAAUCACGAUUAAAAAAUAAUAAAAUAAAAACGAAAGAAACAAAUGAAAUAGAAAAAAAAUGAAAAAAAGGGAAGGAAUGGAAACAAGGCUGGAAAAACCAGAAACGAACAAAAAAGGUUCCUAAAAUCGAUUGAGAGCUUCUCAGAAACGUCGUCGGUAUAUGGGCCUGCCCACGAAAAACUAUCGAAGGAAACAAGCUAUGACGGGCAUAGCGGUCGCCGAAUAGGAUUGGGGCUCGAUUCCUGUGUCCCAGACUUCUCGUUUGAACCAUCGAUAUUUUGGACAAUACAAAUAGGAUGGAAUACGCAUCACGUGCAACCCAACCUAAGUAUAUACGUGCAUAAUCCCUUGAUUUGGCUGUGACCACCAAGCAAUCAGAUCUAAUCAUUCGAUGGCGUCGCAAACUCCUCCAGCCAAACGAGCCGACGGCCAAGGAAGCAUCAACGACGACGUGCUCUACGAGAUCCUGCUCAGUCUCCCGGCGAAGCCGCUGUGCCGCCUCCGCGCCGUCUGCCGGUCCUGGCGGUCCCUCCUCUCGGCUCCGUCGUUCAUCGCCGCCCACACGGCGCGCCAAGCUGCCCUGCUCCUCAUCGUCCACGUGCACGAUGCAUCUUCGCUCAACGUCCAUGUCCUAGACAUAUCCUCGCGCAAAGUGGACAAACGGAUACAUGUCAAGACGCAGAGUAGCACUACGCAGUCUCACAGUUCUUUGAUGCUGAUGCGCACCCCCCAUGACCUGCCGCUGGUUUGCCUCCCCUGCGCAGACGACGAGCUUCGACUCCGGGUGCUCGACCCAGUGACCGGUGCCGAUUUCGCGUUACCUGAUGUCGACCACGAUAAACAACACUGCUAUAGUGCAUCGUUUAUGAUCGGCAAAGUGUCGACCGGAGACUACAAGGUGUUGUGCCUUAGUAUGUGUACGUCCGUGUCCAAUGGACAGCAGCUCUGCAAGGUUCUCACCCUCUCGGGCGACCGUCGGUGGAGAGAGACGGGGUGCCCGCCGGCCAUGGUCAAGAUGGGCCGACUGGACGGGGCAACCGUCAAUGGGGUCGCUUACCUCUUGCUGAAAACCAAGCACGACCAUCGUCCGCAGGUGUCCAGCGAAUGUAUCGUGGCAUACGACCUGGAGAAGGAGGCAUGGCGGCCAGCUUCUCUGCCAGUCCCGACACCUAGCAACAAGGAGUAUUUAACAAAAAAACUACCACAUUUCGCGGAACCGUGCCUACAAACUACCACUUUACAAAUUUGUGCCAAAAACUACCACUUUUUGACUAAUCUUUGACUAAAAACUACCAUCUCAGAAAAGUGCCCGAUUAGCCUCUUCUAAACGCUUUUCUGGUAGGAUGGGCCCACAUAUCAGCAUCAAUCUUCUUCCUCCUCCUCCUCCUCUCUCUCUCUGGCAUUUCCUCAAACACCUCGUAUGCACUCCACGCUCUUCUCCAUUGCGACGCCCCGGCGAAGCACCUCUCCGGCGCUGGUCUCCCCGUCGAUGGCGUACACGAGGUGCAAAGGCGGGGGCUCGGUCGGCAGGGCCGAGCGGGGCGGGGCGAGGCCUUGGCACGAUGGCGGCCGCCAUGGCCGAGGCGAGCAGGCGGCUCGGCUAGGAGGGAGGGCGGCGCAGGUGGCGGGGCACGCCGGCCGGCGGGGCAGAGCGGCGGGUGGCGCGGGCUGGGCAUAGUGGCGGGUGGCACGGGCGGCGGACGGCGCACACGCUCGCGGCGACGGCGGCUACGUGCACGGCUGUGCACGCACACAAGCUGCUACGGCUGCAUGCUAGCAUGACCGCAAUGCUCCAUUGGCCGGCUAGCUAGCACACGACGCUGGCUUCGACCGAUGGCGCAGGUGGCGCUGCUCGCCGGCCGGCGGUGGGGGCGGGCGCGGCGCGUGGCUCGCGUGCAUCUCUCGCGCGGCACGGCCUAGGAGUUGACCACUGUGUCAUGUCAGCGCCUAAGUGUGGGCCAUCCCUGUCAUAAUCAUGUUUAAUUUCAGCAAACUACCAUGAGGCAGAAAUUAGUGUUUUCUGAGAAAAAUUAGUCGAAAAGUGGUAGUUUUCGGCACAAAUUUGUAAAAUGGUAGUUUGUAGGCACGGUUCCGUGAAAUGUGGUAGUUUUUUGUUAAAUAUUCUAGCAACAAGCAAUGGCCAAGAGACAUGUUCUACCACGUCUUGGCCGAGCUAAGCGGCUGCUUGGCCCUACUAUACGACGACGGACGCUCGUUUAUGGAGUUGUGGUUGCUCGUGGACCCCGACAAGGUUACCUGGUCUAAGCAGUGCACCAUCACCGUGCCGUAUCCUUAUCAGGGUGUCGGAUAUCGGGGGGAGCCCUUGUGGUUGCUAGAUGAUGGGAGGCUCAUCAUUUGUAUUUGGAUGUCUCCGGAAAUUCCCAAUGUGUUGUGUACGUAUGAUCCAAGAACCAUGACAUAUACGGAUGUGACAGAGAUGCCAAACAGCACGCCAGGAGGAGUGUACACUGGGAGCUUGUUGGGUGGAGGGAGGUUUCACCUUCUCCGCCAAGGAGGUUUAGUACAAGUAGACUGAUACUGCUCUUUAUUAGCAACCAAAAAGAGCUCUUUUGUGGUACCCCGCGUCAAAUAUUAGCCAUCCAUUCUUCAAAUCUAAUGGUAACGAUCGAUCUAUACUGCUCCAAUUUGCCAAUAGAAUCGCGAGCGGUAUAGCUUGCACCGCUUCUCUCCCGUCCUCCAGUAUACAAAUCGCUAGGGCAUUUUGGGAGUAAAUAGUUUCAGCUCGCCCGUCUCGCCCUCUGGGGACUGGUCCGCCGUGACGAGGCCGGCUGGGCCGGCAAGGUGCAGCACCUUCGAACCGACUUUUAGGCCUUCCGGACAUCCGAUGCCUCCUGGCGCACGCUGCUCGCCAACGACGGCGGCCGGCCAUGCCAGGCAGGCGAGACCAUGGCGGCUGGCUGCGGGCUGCCCCGGCCUGCCCUUUCGGAUCACGCUGUCCGCGGACGGUGGCGAGGUGACCCGAGGCUGCGGGACUGCUUGCGUGCGGGAGGCGGGAGCGGACGAGCAGCUACGGCGGGGCUGCUUGCGUGCGGGAGGCGGGAGCGAACGAGCAGCUGCUGCGGUGCUGUGGGGCGUGCACGACGGCUGUUGCUGCAGGCGUGGAGCGCGAACGGGCGCGCGCGUGGCUGGGUGUGUGCAUGCGAGCCGAGCUCCAGUGACUCGUCCAUGGCGGACAGGGCGCCGGCUUCAGCGAGACGACGCUACUGUAAACGAAAACGACGGGAACGAAUAAGAUGAGCUCGAGGGGGAGGUCGUGGUCGAGGACGACGGCUCGGGGGGCGCCUCCGUCCAGCAACCAGAGCAGGAGGUCGAAGGAGACUGUGGAGGAGUUGUGGCACAUGCAGGCGGAGCUUGCCGUCUUGGUUUCCCAUCGCCAAUAUCCGCUGACCGACGACGUCGCUAAGGUUUCCAUGACAGAAAAUCUAUGUCUAUCCUACCCUCGGGAAAUCAGCGGUCAGAUUUUAAUAUACCGCUUCCUCGCCUGUUAGCAGCAUAGGGUACCGUAAAAACUCUCCAAAUUAGACAGUUUCCUUUCCUUUCUUUUCUUUUAUUUUCUCCACAGCCUCUACGAGGAAGAUGGUUUUAUUUGGAGAAUUGGUGGCUGAUACAAGGUGACAUUUCUAUGAAACAGGAAUUCCAUCAGAGUUGAUCCUUUGCAUAUAUGUCUUGAGCAACCUCUACGUCCCAUGGCCAUGGUUAGUACGUACUUGCGAGUGAUGGUUUGCGGCGUGUCAGCCAUACUAAAAAGGAAAGGCAUGUUAAACUUAGCCGACUAGUAAUUAUUCUGAUGAAUUUUAUGAAAAUCCAUGGGACAUUUUCUGACUCAUGUGGGAUAACCAGCAACUAAACAUGCACCAUUUUGAAAAGAGUCAAAGCAUCCCUGAAUGUAGCUAGGGAUAUAGAACACAACCAGCCAUUCAGAGAGUCAAGCCUGUCCAAACCGCCAUCGUUUCUCAGAGCGCAGAUGACAAGAUAUAUAGAGUAGUAUUAACCAUCGAUCCCGACCUUGGCUACACCACACAUCCUUUUCACUAGACGCCAUGGAUUGCAGGACGAGACCUCUCCUUGUUUCACUUGUCUUCAACAGGAGGACAAAGUGGACCACAUCUUAAUCCAAUGCCCGUAUGCUAGAGAGGUGUGGUAUUUGGUACUGGGACAUUACAGAUUGAAUAUCGCUCCACCAUCUGUAUCCUGCACCCCAAUACAAUGGUGGACGGAAGCCAGAAACGCAAUCCUAAGGAGCGAAAGGAAGGGCUUCUACUCCUUGUUCAUGUUAACGACCUGGGCGGUUUGGAAACAACGGAACGCCCGGGUCUUUGGCAGGGUUAACCAGCAACUGCAGCCGGCACAAUUGUUGGGACAGAUCAUCGACGAAGCCAAGGAGUGGAGGGCCGCUGGAGCUGGAGGCUUGAACAAUCUAGCGAGAGAGUAGUUUCACAGUUUUUGCAGGUGUGGGUGUGGGUGUUCGAUCGAAGCCUGUUCGCAGCGUCUUCGAUCUUCUUGUAAAUUGCUUUGCUCCUUUCUAUAGAAAUACGGUACGCCGUUGGCGUACUCUAAAAAAAAACUAAAAGCGUCGGGCGUCAGCGUCCUGGGGGGCUGGGGAUGGUGACCCUUUUCUGAAGCCGGAAGAAAUAUGCAGCGCACGCUACGCAUCCUGCUUUCCACGAACGCGAGCUUCGCUGGCCGGCCGGCCGGCGUGCAGUAACCACUGCGCUGAUCGUGCUUUGCUAGACACAAGUCCGUACCGUCACAGGACCCGGUCCUGUCAGCUUCAGUUCCGUGCGCUCCGGGUAUGCAGCUCAGAUUACAUUUAGAACCAAAGUGUUCACCAGAUCAAAGAUCAGGCAGUUCUCACCCAACCGGCACGACUAUAGUGUAGAAUAAACACAAGGAGGACAAACCAUUUGACGACCCUUAGAUUGCUGCUUAGCUUAUCGGAUCGCUUAGUUACGUACUAGUAGCUCUGGCAUUAUAUCUGGGUUUCUGAACUGUAUCCGCGUGCAUUUCUUUCCCGCGUGCAUACAGAACGUGUGUCCCCUGCCUGCCAAUUCUGUUGAACGUCCUCGCAGUUUCACACUCGCAUUUCUUCAGCGAGCUUCUCCGCUCCGUGUCACUUGGAUCAACAGGUGUUCAUGGAUCGUUAUCGGAGAAGGACACUAGCGGUACAAUUAACUGCAUCAUAUCUUAGUACUUAAUGUCUGAAUUGGAUACGGGGAACAGGAUGCCUUUGAUGUAAUACAGGGACGUGUCUGUCCUCUGUCUCACCCGAAUCGUCUUCUCCAAUUAUUGCUGAACAUACUGUGCAUGCGCGAGGGUGGCGUCUGUUUGGAGAGCGUCGGCGUCGGCGAGGGCCAGUUGCUGUCACUCAAAUGGUUGGCGAAGCAGCUAUGAUCCAUUGCUCCAGUCUAGUUGGAAGGUUAGUUAGAAAACCGUCCCGUUCCAAGCACCAGUAGAAGCUAGGCAAUCACAGCCAGUGCUUUAGAUGGCACGCCAUGGUCCACCAAAUCAAGGAGACGACGAUUACAAACAUUGGUGCUUGGAACGGGACUCUAUAGAAAAAAAACAGUUCUCUCACUGUAUUCCAUGCAAAUGUUGCUUGACCUGCUCCACCAGCUUUGAGACGCCACACGAACUAAGACCAUGCACGCAUAAGCAGGGAGUUGAGCCGCACCAAAGAGCCGAUCGUCAACAAAGACUCCGGACAACGAAGGUCGUCAUUGCACAUGCAACAGAGAUUGACGAGGAAGGAAGGUCACCGGCACCACAGAAAUCUCAAUUCGGGACACUCAGGCAAUCCCGCACCGUCCUCAUGCUCCGCCGUCCUCUCUAGUGGCGGCAUAGUCGGUUGGCAAAACGUACUCGUCGUCAGGGGCGAAGCCAGAAACAAAAGGUUGUCGACGUCAACACGAACAAGUAGCACUAAUGUAUCCCCUCGAAAACAAAGUAGCAGUAAUAUAUGGUUGAAAAAUACAUAACUUGUAUUAACUAAAAUGUCUACAAUAUUUUCUUUAGUAAGCUCAUAUAAAUAAGAAAUCAUCGUUGCCAACGUAUCAUAACCAAAAUAAGCUCUGGUUACAAGAAUAGAUACCUCUAUUUUUCUUGACAUUCUAAUAGGGGUACAACUUGAGGCCUAAUCUAGAUUGUGUAAUCUACGUGAUUAUCCACCUAGACAUUCAAGGAAUAAAAAUAAAAUUCAUCAUGUCAUAAUAAAUCUCUUCAUCCUUCAGAUCAAUUAGAUGGAUAAAUCAGCUUCAGUGCCACUUACAUAUUAGAUCUGCAAACUAAACCACCAAUUUUCUUGGAAGAGAGAAGUGAAGAUUUGGGGCGGCGGUGGUUCAAGCGAUUAGGUGAAGUGAGGCGCGAAAAAAUGUUUAUGGAAGAAGAUGAUCGAGCUAUCCUCUUUUAUUUAGGGGUGGAAAAACACUUUAUUAUAUUAGAUAAAAGCAUUCACAAGGAUACAGAUCUAACAACCAAACAUGACGACCGACGUCGAGCAAGUCGCUCUAGCCAGACCAUGAGCCUCCAGGUUGCUUUCUCUCAUCUCAUGUUUAAUAGCUAGUCACCGAAGAAAAUUGGUGGCAUCUGGAUUUGAUCUCAUGUAUGAUCUCGUGGUGCACGAUCCAAGAUAUGAUUCAUUCACGUGCUAAUAAUAGAAUAAUAAUCCCUUUAUUAUUUUCUCUAUGGCAUAGUCGUGAUAAUUUCGAUUGCAACCACGUUGCUACAACACACCUUAAUCAAAUUUUGUUUCCUUUAGAACAACAAAGAUUAUGUUACAAUUGUGAAACAAGUGUACACCGUGAAGGGUCUAAUUAGUGUGAGUUUCUUGAUUCUCAGUGUGUGGCACCGAACAAAAUAUAGAUGGAUUUGGUCAAAACUAAUGAAAUGUGGUGGUUAGAUAACAUAUUUGUUAGGAUUGUUGGGUCAUCUAGAUCACCAUUUUUAUGAAGAGUGACUGUUCCAUUUUUUUCCUUGGGUAAAGUAUGUGUAUAUUUCCAAUUUAUUACCGACCCCGUGUGACUUGUAAGUUGCAUUUGACCAUGAAGAAAGAAGUAGAUAAUUAUGCCAACGAUUCAAUUUAUACUCUAUAAGUUUCUUAGAAUUUGCUUAUUUAAUCAUACAUACAUUACACCACUAUUAACAUUUUUGUUAGAUCGUAUCCUAUAAAGAUCUUUACCUGAUAUUUAAGGACACAAAGACAUACAUAUACAAUAUGCAAUUUAUGCUAGUGUAAAACAUUUAUUCAAGAAGCCAUGCAUUUUUUAUAUUUUAUUUUUUGUCACGAAAAAAACUAUUAAAAUGUUUUUUUGCACAAAAUACAAUAGUUUAAUUUGGCAUACUAUGAGUGUAUUCCUUUUACUAAAAAGGAAAGGCAUGUUAAACUUAGCCGACUAGUAAUUAUUCUGAUGAAUUUUCUGAAAAUCCAUGAGACAUUUUCGACUCAUGUAGGAUAACCAGCAACUAAACAUGCACCAUUUUGAAAAGAGGCAAAGCAUCCAUGAAUGUAGCUAGGGAUAUAGAAAGAGAGAAUUCCUUAUUUGACUCUUUCUUAAAUUUUGAUUCCCUAUUUGGCCUAAAAUAAAAUUUUCUUCCCUAUUUGACACCUAAAGUAAUUUUCAUUCCUUAUAUGACACUUUUGUCUAUUUUAGGCACUAAUCUGGUUAAGUGUGAUGUGAAAAGACCAUUUUGCCCCUAGUGCAUUGUGUAACUAUUUUGGAUGUAGUUAAAAAGCAAUCAGUUCACCCGUGUUUUAGGGAUGUUCAACAGAUGCUGCGCAUGCAUAUGUAUGCUUCAAUAUUUUGUUUCUUAGGUAAACUGGUAUGUGUGUGUAAAAGCCGUAGAAUACAUCCGUAGAACUUGUACUAGCAUAUCUAUGAUUACUUACUUUUUUGCAAAUAAGUAGAACUUGUACUAGCAUAUCUAUGAUUACUUACUUUUUUGCAAAUAAGUACAGUGACAUAUACUUUCCAGCAAGAUGCGUGUACUUUUGAACGAGACGUAGGAGUAGCUUGUAAUACAACCGACAGCUGAUUACUUUUCGGCGGCCGUCGGGAGACUCGCGUAUAAGUACGUACGAUUUGCACAAGAUGCGCUUGGACCGUUGCACGUACUAAGUACAAAUCGCCGACUAUUAGAUCGCUGGCACAACUCGAUUCACACGUCCGCGAGAACAGGGGACGCCGACUGUUUGCCACCGGAGCGUGUUGCUCUCAUUAAUCUCUUCGUUGCCUUUUUCUCACUAUAUACAAGUUAUCACAUAUUAUAUACUAGCAAUAUAUAACUAGCCUAUAUAGGAUUUAGUAGUAUGUGACUAUGUGUAAUUAUGUACUUUGGAACACGUGACCAAAUUCAGCACGAAGUGCUAAUUGGAGGAUUUAGUGGUAUGUGACUAUGAGAACUAACCAAAAUAUGGUACCGUAUUGAUCAUAGAUAUGCUAGUACAAAUUCUACCAAUGUUUUGUAUGGGUUUUACACGCACAGUCUAGAUUAAUAAGACAAAAUAUUGGAGCAUACAUAUACAUGUGCAACAUCCUUUGAACAUCCCUAAAACAUAGGUGAACUAAUUGCUCUUUUACUUCAUCCAUGACAUUUACAAAAUGCAUUAGGGGCAAAAUGGUCUUUUCACCACACAGUUAACACUAUUAGUGUCUAAAAUGGACGAAAGUGUCAUAUAAGAAACAAAAAUUAAUUUAGGUGUCAAAUAGGGAAGAAAAAUUUAUUUUGGAUCAAAUAAGGAAGCAAAUUUUAAGAAAGGGCCAAAUAAGGAAUUCUCUCAUAUAGAAACUCACAACCAGCGAUUCUCAAAACGCAGACAAGGGGUAUUAAUUAGAGCAAGUACAAUAAGCUUAUGUAAGCAGGCUAUAAGAUUUAAAAUAUAAUAUUUUUACUGAUAUGAAGGGGAGAGAAGAGGAGCCGGCUACAGAAUAAGAGCCAGCUGCAACACGUGCUCCUAGGCACUAUGUGAGAGUGAGGAUGUAGGUCAUGCAUUAAUAAAAUAACACACCUUCACAUCUAACUAUUGUAUGUGUCGGCUAUAACAUUGGCUAUAGAACAUCAUAUAGCCAUCAGCUGGCUGGCCGGAGCUCUCAGGACGCGGGUGGUUCCGUCGGGACCCUGCAGCGAGAGAGAGGAACGUGCGGAUUCAUUGUCAGCUGUGGGGUAAUCGAAUCUUUAGUUGUUUGGACACGAGAGUGAAGAUUCCGCUGAGACCGAAAAAGGCCAACGCACUUUUACAUUGGAAAAAACGAAAACGAAGAUGCAUCGACUUGGCAACUUGGCAGAAUCUGUUGGGGAGGUUCCAUACUUCUUCGACAAGAUAUAGUAUUAACCAUCGAUCCUGACCUUGGCUACACCACAUAUCCUUUCCACUAGACACUAGAGGCGUCAGGGGCCGGCGGGUGGCGACCCUUUUCUGAAGCCGGAAGAAACAGGCAGCGCACGCAACGCAUCCCGCUUUCCACCCGGCCUUCGCUGGCCGGCCAGCCGGCGUGCAGUAGCCGCUGCGCUGAUUGUGCUUUGCUAGACACAAGUGCGUACCGUCACAGGACCCGGACCUUUUUAAGCUUCAGUACCAUGCGCUCCGGGUACGCAGCUCAGCUCGCUUUCAGAACCAGAUUGUUCACCAGAUCAAGAUCAGGCAAUUCUCAUCCAACCGAGUAAUUGACAAAAAACUACCACAUUUCACGUACCCGUCCCACAGAACUACCACAUUUUGAAAACUGACCAAAAACUCCAGAUUAGUGUUAAUUUCGUGACAAAAAACUACCAGGUCGAGUUGAUGACCGCUUUUAUGAUUUUAAACCUGUUUAUGACAUGUGAACUGGCAGCAAAGUCAACUAUGUUUAUUUUGACCGUCAAGUUAACCGUUAUGACAGGUGGGACCCACACGUUAUCAUCAACCUUCUUCUUCCUCCCCUCCUCUCUCUUUUUGGCAUUUCAACAAACACCUCUUGUGCAUGAGACGGAAACAGGGGAGCUCCGGCCGCCUGCUCGCUUUACACCACGUCGGACCCCAGCAUGAGCGCCAGGUGAACUAGCUCCGGUCGGCUCUGCCUCGCACUGCACGGCGGCAGUGGCAGCAGCCUUCGCAGCGACAUCGAUGUCGGUGUCGCGAGCUACUGCUCAAUGGUAGAUGUGGGCCUGGCCGGCUGCCGGGCGCGGGCGUGUGUGGGAUGCAGGGGCAGUGCGGCGCUGGGAGGAGGAGGCGGGGCGAGCCGUGAGCGCGGGUCUGGGAGGGUUCACGCGGCAGAGGUAGAGGCAGGAGCCGAGCAACGACGGGGCUGCGGCGAGGCACGCAUGCCGGUGGGCAGCACAAGCGGACGGCACGGGCGGUCUGCGGCGUCAGGGUCGGCAAGCCGCAACGGCAGCAAGCCAGCAGGGGGCGCGGGCAAGAGCUGCGCGGCAGCAGGCGGGGGAGGCUAGGGGCUCGCCGGCGCGGGCAGCGGAGGCCAGCAGCGGGGACAACGGCAGUAGCGACAGGUAGCAACGACAGCAGAUAGAGCAGCAACGGCAGCGCCUAAGAGCAGCGACGAGCUUCGGCGACAAUGGCGGCGGUGGCGAGCGCCGUUAGCCGUUAGCGCGGCAGCCGUCCCGACAGAUGGGCCAGCUCUGCCAUAAAGGGGUUUAAAACGGUUAAAUCGGUCUUUAACUCGACCUGAUAGUUUUUUGUCACGAAAUUAGCACUAAUCUGAAUUUUUUGGUCAGUUUUCAGAAUAUGAUAAUUCUGUAGGACGGAUACAUAAAAUGUGGUAGUUUUUUGUCAAUUACUCCACCCAACCGGCACGACACGACUACAAGUUAGAAUAAACACAAGGGGGACAAACGAUUUGACGAAUCUUUCACUGCUGCUCAGCUUAUCAGAUCCAUUAUACGACUACUCCCUUCGUAGUGUCAAAAAAGUCCUACAUUAUGGGCGGAGGGACUAAACUUUUUUAGUGGAAGUUACGUACUACUAGUAGGUCUGGGAUUGUAUCGGCGUGCUUUUCUUUCCGCGUGCUUUUCUUUCCGCGUGCAUACCGAACGUGUGCUCCCCUACCUGCCAGUUCUGCUCAACGUCCUCGCAGUUUCACACUGGCAUUUCUUCUGUGAGCUCCUCCGCUUCGUGUCACUUGGGUCAGCAGUUGUUCAUGGAUCGUUAUCGCAUGACACUGGCGGUACAGUUAACUGCAUCAUAUCUUAGUACUCAAGGUCUGAAUUAGAUACGGGAAACAGGAUGACUUCGAUGUAAUUCACUGACGUGUCCGUCGUAUCCAAAUCGUCUUCUCCAAUUAUCGCUGAACAUACUCUGCAUAUGCAUGAGGGUGGCGUCCGUUUGGAGCGCAUCAGCGUCGGCGCGAGGGCCCGUUGCAUCUAUGAUCCAUUAGUCCACUCUAGUUGGAAGGUUAGUUAGAAAACCGUCCCGUUCCAAGCACCAGUAUAGAAGCUAGGCAAUCGCAACUAAUGCUGUAGAGGGCACGUCAUGGUCCACCAAAUUAAGAACACGGAUAACAAACUCUGUUCUAAACCAGCAAUGCGCCAAAUCUACUUUAUUUUGCCUCUGUUUUAUUCUGCCUACGCGAUGUUCGCCCAUGCGUUAUGGUUUUCAGUAGCUAUAUCAAAUUCCAAGCUGCGAAGCAGGGGAGCACCCCGAGCACCACUAACCCUCACGCUGUUGUUACACCAUGCCAAGGUCGACUUAUGAAAAAAACAGUUCUCUCACUGUACUCCAUGCAAAUGUUGCUUGACCUGCUCCACCAGCUUUGAGAUGCAACACAAACUAAGACCUUGCACACAUAAGACGUAGUCGACCCGCUACAAGAGCCCAUCCCCAACAAAGACUCCGAACAACGAAGGUCGUCAUCGCACAUGCGACAGAGACUAGCGAGUAAGGAAGGUCACUGACACCACAAAAAUCUCAAUUUGGGAUGCUUAGGCAAUCCGGCACCAUCCUCAUGCUCCGCCGUCCUCGCUAGUGGCGACAUAAUCGGUCGAGAAAAACGUACUCAUCAUCGGUGGCAAAGUGAGGAGAGAAGGUCGCCGACAUUAACACCAACAAGUAGCACUAACGUAUCCCCUCAAGAACAAAGUAGCAAUAAUAUGUGGCUAAAAAGAUAUGUAACUCGUACUCCCUCCGUUUUUGUUUACUCUGCAUAUUACCUUUCGCCAAAGUCAAACUUUGUAAACUUUGACAAAGUUUAUAGACAAAAAUAUCAACAUAUACAAUAACAAAUCCAUACCGUUAGAUUCAUUAUUGAAUAUAGUUUCACAUCAUAUAGAUUUGUUAUUGUAAAUGUUCAUAUUUUUUUCUAUAAACUUGGUCAAACUUUAUGACUUCAGUCAAAUCUAAUAUGCAGAGUAAAUAAAAACGGAGAGAGUAUUAACUAAGAUGUCUAUAAUAUUUUUUUAGUAAGCUCAUAUAAAUAAGAAAUCAUAGUUGCCAAUGUAUCAUAACAAAAUAAGCUUUGAUUAUAAAAGUGGUUACCUCUCCAUUUUUCUUGGCAUUCUAACGGGGUUGUGACUAGAGGCUAAUCUAGAUUGUGCAAUCUACGUGAUUACCCACCAAGACCUUCAAGUUGUUAUCAGAAAAAUCAACACGUCAUAUUAAAUCUCUUGGUCCAUUCUAUGGAUAAAACAGCUUUAAUGCCACUUACAUAUCAGGUCAGCAGAUGGAACCAUCAUUUUUUGCGGAAGGGGGAAGUGGAGAUUUGGGGCGGUGGACAAAACGUUUCUAGAAGAAGAAUAUUGAUCGAUCCUCUUUCUUAGGAGUGGGAAACACUUUAUUCAAUAACCAGCCACAUGGAUAUAGAUCUAACAACCAAACAUGACGACCAACAUUGAGGGAGCAAGCCGCUCUAGCCAGACCAUGAGCUUCCAGGUUCACAGGGAAUAAAAAAUGGCAGGGUCUGGAUUUAAUCUCAUGUAUGAUCUUGGUGCAUGAUCCAAGAUAGGAUUCAUUCACGCGCUCUCUAGGGCAUAAUCAUGAUAAUGUCGAUUGCAACAUCUUUGCUACGACACACCUUAAUCAAAUUUUGUUUUCAUUACAGCAACAAAGCUUAUGUGACAAUUGUGAAACAAGUGAACCAACCUCCCGUGAAGGGUCUAAUUAGUGUGAAUUUAUUUAUUCUCGAUGUGUGUAUUUGAUCAAAAGUAAUGGAAUGUGGUUGGUUAGAUAACAUAUUCUUAGGAUUGUUGGGUCAUCUAGAUCGCCAUUUUUUGUGACCAAUAAUUGUUCCAUGUUUUUCCUAGGUACAGUAUGUGUACAUUGCCAAUUUAUUACCGACCCCGUGUGACUUGUAAGUUCAUUUGACCAUGAAAAAACAAGUAAUCCCUCCGUCCCAAAAUGUAAGAUUAUUUUUGACACUAUCAAAUCAUAGUGUCAAAAAUGAUCUUAUAUUUUGCGACGGAGGGACUAUAUAAUUAUGCCAAUGAUUCAAUUUAUAUUCUAUAAGUUUCUAAAAAUUAGCUUAUAAAAUCAUACAUACAUUACACACCACUAUUAACAUAUUUGUUAGAUCAUACCCUUUAAAGAUUUUACCAGAUAUUUAAGAACACAAAGACUUACAUAUACAAUAUACAAUUUAUGCUAGCGUAAAAUAAUCAUUCAAGAAGCCAUGCAUUAUUUAUUUAUUUUUUGUCACCGGGAAAAAAGAAAACUAUCACAAAUAUUAUUUUUUGUCACAAAGUACAAUUUAGCAUACUACGAGUGUGUUAUUUUUAAUACUCAUUAAAUUUGUGUAGACAAUAAUAUUUUAUUAAUAUUUAGUAACAUCAUUGUGUUCUUAACUAUGUUAAUUAUGUAAUACAAAAUGUACUUGUUGAAAUUGUACUAUGAAAAAAUAAGUAAAAGUGUAAAACUUUAGUAUAAAAAAACUUUAGUAUAAAAAAACUUUAGUAUAAAGAAGGGACCGGCCCUGGAGGAGAUGGCCACAAAUGACAGAAGUAGAUCAAUUUACUAAACCCCAGGGCGGACACUUUCUUACAUAUGUUUAUGUACAUCACCUAAAUUAACAAAGAAGUAACAGCUGGAUCUUCAAUUUUUAUUUGUGAUUGUUAUGCAUCAUUCAAAUAUGCUGUUUUAUUGAUUUUCCUUUGCGUGUGAAAUACAUAAAAAUAUUGUUAUAGUCAUCCUCUUCCAAUUCUAGAUCUCAAAAUUUUAUCAAUGAUCAUACCAUGUGGGUGGAGCCAAAAUUAUUAUUAUUAUUAUUUAUUAAAAAUUAAAUAACUCUAUUUUUUCAAAAAACCAAAAAUGAUAUUUGAACUAAAAUUAUUUAUUUUUUGUACAUAAUAAUCCAUUAAAAAUUCGAGGUAUAUUAUAUGUCACAUCGAGAUUCUCGUCAAAAUAUUAUUUUGGAAGUAAAAUUUUUCCUUACUAAAAAGUCCGGUAAUGGCAUUUAAUUGGACAAAAACAUUUAUUUUCCUCCAAUACUUCCCCAAAUUUUUCAUUAGUCACAUUUCAUCAUUUUGAACCUCCCACAUGAGUUUCACCACAUGGUCAUGUUCAACAUAUUGAGCAAACCUCUCAAAAACAGAUUCUGCCUUAGGGUUCAAUGUUUGGUCUAUCAAUUUUUUUUUUUUAAAAAACCUCAUAGAAUCCUCUGACACCCCUAUGUCUAGUCGACAUCCUCUCUUGGCCGGUAAUAGUAAGAAGAGGGGUGAAAAUUCUCCAAGGCCUGGCUUCACCUACUCAUUUUCUUCCCUCUCACAGCCUGUGGCACCUAAAAUGUACCAGACACUCUCUUCCUCUCUUCUUCUUCCUCGCUUCGUUGGCAUGCCAUUUGUGCGCUACUACAGCACUGGGCAGAGCUCUGCCCGACCCCAUCUUCCUCCCUGGUGCGCCUCUCUUUCCCUAGUGAGCAUCCUCCCGCCGCCUUUAUCUUGAACCAGCCACGAUCUUUAUCUUGGCUAGCUACGCUGCACAUUCGUUCGACUACGAAGCGUGAUGCAUCUUCGUUCAACUACAAGGCUGGGACUGAUCACACUCGUGCCCCUUUUCUCAAGCCAGAAGGAAUGGGCAACGCGCGCCACACAUUCCUGUCAGCGCCAGUUCCGUGCUCCGGGCAUGCAGCUCAGUUUGCGUCCUAAACUAGAGUAUUUCCGAGAACAGGCAGAUCUCACCCAACUGCAACCGGCACGACUGGAUUUUAGUUUAAAUACAGUAUAAAACAGAACCAGCGCACAUGAUUGACGAUGUGUGCGUUCCUAAACCGUAUCCGCGUGCAUUUCUUCCUUGUGUGCACACAGAACGUGUGCUCCCUGCUCCAAGCUCUCCAGAACGCCCUCGCGGAUUCACAUGGGCAUCUCGGUGAGUUUUUUCAGAACGUCCUGCAUGUUUCGAAUCAGCAGUUACUUACACAUCGUUAUCAGACAAGGACUUAGCGACAUAACUGCAUGUCUUCUCAUUUAUGUGUGAGUUGGACAUGGGAAACAUGAUAUCUUUGAUGUAAUUGCGCAGACGUGUCCAUCAUACCGAAUUGCUCGUCUUCUCCAACUAUCACUGAACAAACCAUGCAUGCGUGAGGGCGCCGUCCGUUUGGAGCGCGUCGGUGAGGUCCGUUGCUGCCACUGAAAUGCUCCGUGAAGAAUCUAUUAUGAUCCAUCUAUCGGUCUAGUCUAGCAGGAAGGUUAGUUAGAAAACCAUCGCGUUCAAGUGCGGCCAGUAGAAGCUAGGCAGUCACAUCCGAUGCUGUAGAGGGCACGUCAUGGGAAACCAAAUUAAGAAGAUGAAGACGACAGUGACAAACAUUGUUCCCAACCAGUAAUGCGCCAAAUCCACUUUAUUUUGCCUUUCUGUUUUAUUAUGCCUAAGCGAUGGAGGCCCAUGCGUUUGGAUGAUACUAUAUAGCUAUGUCAAAGCAAGAUGCAAAGCAGGGGAGCCGUCCGAGCAGAGGCUGGCAAGGAUUGUUCUUGGCACGGAAGAAAAGUUCCUUGGCACGCUCCACUAAACCCCACGCACGCCAAGUCAGUAAACCUCACGCCUAGCCAAGGUCGACCUUAUAGAAACACUUCGCCUACUAUUUCACUCCACGUAUUGUGUCUUUCUUGACUCGCUCCCACAACUUUGAGUGAAACGCUAGCGAACCACAUUGACAUUGUUAACCUAUUGCUGCUCGCGUAAGAGUAUAUACAGCCGGACUUAGCAAACUCCACUCCCCUAAUAUCCACGGAUGCACCCGGGUAUGCCCGCGGACGGAGCCGAACUGCCUGUUUGGCCUGCCGCAUAGCCACGCACCUCAAAUGUGGAUCCUCAAAUCCAUAUGCAAGCCAUGCGCAUCUAUUAUACGACACAAAUUCGUCACAAUUCAACAGUAGCAGGACAAAAAAUCUCCUGCCAAUGUCCACUCCAUUACAUACAUAACAAACCUAUGCAUUGAAGUGCCCGCAGGAAUCCACCUUACGAUCUGGCACAAAGUCACCGACAAAAGCAUGUUGCGACAUGCAACCGGCCACAUCCGGCAGGUCAUCGUCUUGGGUUAAAAUCCCAUUAACCUUAACAUCCAACACACUGCAUAUUUGGGAGGUGAGAUGGAUUUACCUGAUUCUUGCCCCAUUACACAAUCGAUGUAAUCUUCGCCCACAGCUCAUCGUCCUCCUCCAUGUUCGCCCCGCCAUCGACCAUCCUUGGUACGCAUGUUCCACCCAUCUACAAGCACGGCGGUGAGAGAUGGGUGAGAGACAUAGAGCGACGAGGGAGAGUCAGAGAGGGUUGUAUGAAAGGGGUGAGAUCGAGUGAUGGCAUGAGCUAACCUCAAGCCAACGGGUUGCCGCCGUUCUAUACCUAAGUCGUCACGCUCAAUGCAGGGCACCGCCGCCGCCAAGCUCUGGAGGGUUAGGGAUUUGGAGGCCCCGAUUUGGGAUUCAGGGAUUAUGAACCAUGAUUGGGGCUUUUGUGAAAAUAAAUAAAUCCAAGGUUUUUUUUAGAAAAUAUCAUGCCACACACCCCAACCUCCGCAUCUGGUGACAAUGGAACCCGCGCCACGCUGGCGUGCCUACUUCAAAUGAGAUAAGCACUCUAUUUGCACGUGAAGGCCAAGUUUUUACACCACUUCAAUAUGUAUACCACAACUUAUAGCACCAAAGUGAUUGUUUGCGCCAAGUUCUAGCACUACAAUGCGAUUGACUCUUUAUUUUAUUAUAUAUGCCUACCUGAUGUUCGCGCCACGCGUUGUGGUUUUGAGUAGCUAUAUCAAGCUACUCCCUCCGUCUGGGUUUAUUAGGCCUCUUAACAUCACAAGCAUGUCCUUUUUUAUAAGGCCUCGCUUUGAAAAGGUGCAUGCACGCAACCAUUUCAUUAGUUGCAUUGAAAGUCAUUGUUGUUGGUGCCAUGACUGGCAAAUUAAUACACUUCAUGCGUGUUUUUUUAUUGGCUGCAUGCAUGUAGGAGAGUGCGUUGAGAGUGGAAUGGAAGAAUUAAUGUGAGCAAAUUACUAUGUGUCUUGGUCUAAGAGAAGUUGUCUUUAGGCCUAAUAAACAGGGAGUACCUGCCAAGCAAGGGUGCACCUCGAGCAAAACAAAGUCAUGUAGGGUUUGUAGACUUGACAACCCUCACGCUGUUAUUACACCACGUCAAGGUCAACCUAUAAAUAAAUAGUUCUCUCACUGUACUCCAUGCAAAUGGUGCUUGACCUGCUCCACCAGCUUUGAGAUGCCACACAAACGAAGACUGUGCACACAGGGACAGAGCUAGGAUUCUAACAUAGGUGGGGGGAAGGGGAGGGGGCAAGAUUUUGCCACUACUAUGCGGAGAGAAAAAAUCACGUGGAAAUAGUCUAGGUUAAUGAACUUAAUCUUCACCAAGAGGAGAAAACAAAUGUUUGGUAACGAACAAUUCAAUUUGUCAUAAAUUAUUGUCAAGAAAGGAAAACAAAUGUGAAUAGCAAUUCAAAUGUUAAUGAACCAAAUCUUUCGACUACAUAAGAGGAUAAACGAUGCAAAACCUUGUUUCACGAGUUAUCACUAAUCCCUAAUCAAAAUUUUAGGUAUGAAGUUUCUGCAGUUCUAAUUUUGAAAGAUAAGCCCGGUACGAAAGACCAGAAGUAAUCUAACCAUUUUGCAUUGCUAGUUGCCGCUCAUGUUGGGUGUGUGAUCGGUCGGCAGCGCGUCCACGCAAGCAUCGCCUCAACCUCUCCAGAAUUUUUGGUCUUAGAUUGAAAGCUACUUCCUCUGUUCCAAAAUAUAGGUCGUUUUAGCGAGCUGUUUUAGCUUGCUAAAAUGACUUGUAUUAUGAAAAGAAGGCAAUAGAUUCAUAGGGCUAGAUCAAAACCGCCCUAGACGUCUGUGGAAGCUCAGCGAGGCAAAGAAAAGAACACGGCCUGACUUCGUUUAUGUGAGCUUUUGAGCCUAGGUAUAGAUGGGAUUGGAGUUUAGCUGGGUUUUACGUGCUUAGGAGGGCUAAAUUAGUCAUAGGUCAGGCUGUUAGUGGGAAAAAUCAGAUCAUUUGGUGGUGGGGGCGGUGGGGGGGGGGCGGUUCUAGCCCCCCAUCGCCCCCUGGAUUCGUCCCUGCAUGCAAACAUAAGCAGGUAGUCCAGCCGCACCACGAGCUGAUCGCCAACAAGACUCCAAACAACGAAGGUCGUCAUCGCACAUACGACAAACGUUGACAAGGAAGGAAGGUCACUGGCACCACAAAAAUCACAAUAUGGGACACUGGCAAUCUCAUGUUGUCCUCGCUCGUGGCGGCAUAAUCGGUUCGCAAAACGUACUCAUCAUCAAGGGCGGAACUAGGAGAAAAGGUCACCGACGUCAACAUGAACAAGUAGCACUAACGUAGCCCUCGAAAACAAAAUAGCAAUGCUAUAUACCACUGUAACAUAUUUGGUAGAUCAUACCCUCUAAAGAUCUUUACAAGAUAUUUAAGGAUACCAAGACAUACAGAUACCAUGCUAGUGUAAAACAUCCAUUGAAGAAGCCAUGCAUCUGUUGUAUUUUAUUUUAUUUGUCACGUGAAAAAAGAAAAAGUAUCACAACUUUUUUUCAUAAAGUAUUAUUUAAUUUAGCAUUCUUUGAGUCUGUUCUUUUUAAAAAAACUCAUUAAAUUUGUAUAAUGAAUAAUAUUAUAUUAAUAUUUAGUAACAUUAUUAUGUUCUUAACUAUGUUAACUAUGUAAUAGGAAAAUAUACUUGUUAAGAUUGUACAUUGAUGAAAUAAAUAAAAAUGUAAAAUUUUAGUAUAAAGAAGGGGAAAACCGGCCAUGCAGGAUAGACGCGGGAAUAACAUACGUAGGUCAGUGCACUAAACAUUAAGGCGAUUACUCCCCAUCACACAAUUUUAAUAAAGAAGCAAAAACUAGACCAUUGAUUAUUUAUUUUUAUGAAUUUUUGGCUACUUUGUAUUUUUUUUGUUUUAUUAUAGGUUUUCCUUUUUUAAACUACACACAGUAGGGAAAAUCUCCACUGCAAUUUUUUCCUAUUAAAUAAAGCAAGCUACGAAUUAAUAUCUUAUAAGGCUUGAGAGAAGCCUAGAUUAUUGGUUUUUCUUUGUAUAUUAAAUUCAUAUAAAUAUUUUUAUAGUCAUCCCUUCCAAUACUAGUUCUUUAUUUUUAUCAAUGAUCAUACCAUGUGGGUGGAGACCAAAAGUAUAUUAAAGAAAAUUCAAAUCAAUCUUUUUUUCUAAAACCCCCAAAAAUGAUAUCUGAACUAAAACUAUUCAUUUUGCUUACACUAUAAUUCAUUAAAAAUCAGUUGCGUGGUAUAUUAUAUGUAAUACCAAGAUUCCCUUCAAAAGUAUUGUUUGGAAGUUAUUUAAAUAUUUCUCUUGUUAAAAAGUCCAGAAAUAGCAUUUAAUUGGUUAAAACAUUUAUCUUCCAAAAAUCCCCCAAUCUUUUUAUAGGCUCCAUAUCAUCAUUUUGAACCUCCCACGUGAGUUCCACCACAUAGAAGGCCUAUUGAGCAAAACCCUAAAAAUCAUAUUCUGCCCUAUGGUUCAAUGUCUCGUCUUUUAAAAACAUUUCAAAAAUAGUAAGAAGAGGGGUGAAACCCUAGUUCACCAUGGCACUAAGUGCCAAAAAGCCUAUAAGGCUCGAAGGUGGUAUUUUCAGUUUGAGCUCACAUGAGCUCAGGUGAAUAGUAAAAUACAGUCAUGCUCCUGAACCUGAGUGCAUGAAUCGUCCUUGGUAUUCCCCAGAUCAGGUAGAUCUUACCCAACCGGCAUGUGCCGACUGAUUUUAUUUUAAAUAAAGUAGAGCCAGUCCAGCACACAUGAUUGACGAUAUGUGCGUCCCGUAGUCGUAUCCGCGUGCAUUUCUUCGUUGCGUGCACACACAAUGUGUGCUCCCUGCUCCAAGCUCUAUAGAACGCCAUAGAAAAUUCACACCACCGUCUCAAUGAGCUUCUGUCAGAACGUCCUGUGUUCUUUGGACCAGCAGUUUGCUUACACAUCAUUAUCAGAAAAGGACUUAGCGAUAUAACAUCAUGUCUUGUCAUUUAUGUGUGAGUUGGAUACGAGGAACAUGAUAUCUUUCAUGUAAUGCACAGAUGUGUCCGUCGUACCCGAACCGUCUUCUUCAAUUAUCACUGAACAAAGGGUGCAUGCGUGAGGGUGGCAUCGUCGGCGUGGUCUCGUUGGUGUCACUCGAAGGCUUGGUGAAGCAUCUUUGAUCUAUUGGUCUAGUCUGGUUGGAAGGUUUGUUAGAAAACCGUCCCGCUCCAAGCACCACUGAAAGCUAAGAAAUCACAGCUAAUGUUGUAGCGGCCACGCCCUGGUCCACCCAAUCGUAGGCGAUGUUCGCCCACGCGGUCAGAUUUUCAGUAUAUCCAGAAAGAUACAUAGUGGGAGGAACCCAACCUCCUUGGAGUUUAGCGCUCCCUGGCCGUUGGAUCUUUCCUCUGAUGCAUUUUUGACCGUCCGAUCACGAGAUGGAGGGAUUUGGGACGUCAGAUCAAUCCGUGAAACUGUAGAUCGAAACAGUGUCGAAAUCCUGUGCCAUCGUGUGUGAUUCCAGUGCCCCGCCGAGGGCAAUUUCGUCAUUUCACUCACAGGAGGAUAAAAGGGCUGCUCCCAUGGAGACAACCCUGGCCGGCUCUUCUCCCGCUCGCUCCGCCUCCUCCUUCCCACCCGCGCCUCCCUCUCCUCCUUCCCCGCCACCUCCCGGCCUCCUCCCCACCCGCGCCUCCCUCUCCUCCUUCUCUGCCGCCACCUGUCCUCCUCCCCACUCGCGCCUCCCUCUCCUCCUUCCACCCCUUCGAUCUGGCGCCGCCAAACCCUAACGCCCCGCCCCGGCCCCGACCCCGGCUCCCUUGGGAGGGAAGGAGGAAUGGCGAGGCGAGGCAAAGGCGACGGCGUAUGGGACGCGGCGCGGGCGGCGUGGCCCAGGGGGUCGGCCUCCUCCCCUACUCCUCUCUCCUCUGCCCCCAGCGCAUAGUCGCGCCGCUCCUCUUCCUCUCCCGCGUCCGUCCCGGCGGCGGCGGCGACUUGCAGGCAAUGGGCGAGUCCCUGUAGGGGGGGGGGGAGGAUGAGGGCCUCUCGCGCUCGCUUGUGACCCUCAACUGUGGCUAGGGUUUCGGGCUGGGCAUUGCCUUCGUCGCCGGCGCGGCUCUGGUGGACUCCGGCAGCUCCUCUUCGUCUCCUCCCUCGCCCCCACGCGAGGCAAAGAAGAAACGAAGCACCUCACCUGGCUCCUCAGAACUCAGGCACUUUCGGCUAUCGGAACCACUUCUCUGGUAAGUAACUAGAGAUACUUGAAGUAAUUAGUAAGUUUGGUCCUUGCUUAGCCAUAUAAUCAUAGGACAAAUAUGUCGUGGUUGUAGUUGUUUGAAUCCAGGUGAUGUUUGUAGGAAUAUUAGUAUAAGCUCCGCAGAGAAGAAAAGCCACGAAUUUGUAGGAGCUGGUUACAUCAUUUAUUUGUGAUGUUUAUGGUUGUAGUGGUUGACGGCGACUAUGUUCUCAAGACAGGUUCCGAUGAUUUGUAUCUUUGUUGGUUCUCUGAUAGAAAAUGUGAAGGUUCUUCGUGACCACAAUGAGACAUCGGUUUUGUUUACUUUUGAACAUAAUGAGUACAAGUUGAAGGUUUGCUCGUCACGCUUCCUCUAUAGCCCAUAUGAGCUUUAGUCGGAUCACUGCGUGUCGAUGGUAUAUAUAUGUGGAACUACCUAAGGUCACAAUCCUAUAUCAUUUGUUGAUUUUAAAUAAUAUGGAAAUGGCCUAAGAGAUCAUGAAGUACUGUAGGAUUAUUUUUUAUAUGAUAUGUGCCUUCAAUUGAUCUUGGCUAACCACAAUCUCUUGGGACAGAUUGUUACAUUGCGUGAGAUAUAUGUAUUUUGUCUUCAAGGCUUCAAGUGUGGUUAGCACAACAUACAGAGACAGUUUGGCAGUAGUGCAAUCGGGGUCUGGCCGCGUCUUUCAAGAGUGGUGUCAAUAACGAGAGGCUUCUAUGACAAUGGAGGCAGCGACAAGCACAUAUAUACUCUAGCUUUGAGGCACUAAAUUGUGUAUGUUCUGAACUUACAUUAGAGCUUCACAUAUCAUUAUCGUGAGUCAGCAAAAAAAUUGCAUUGCAAAACUGUACACUUUUCUUUUGACCGUUUGACAUCUUAAUCCUUUUAGGUUGUCAUGGAAGUCUAUGAGUGGAUUUUUGUUAUUGUGUUGAGCCAUGCUUUGAUCUAUUAAUUGGCCAAUAUUUGAUGUCAUAUUAUCUUUAGAUGCAUCACUUGUAGUUAUCCUUUGAUUUCUAUUAGUUGCCCAUUUUUUUUCCUGGAGCCGUAAUUCUGUUAUAGCAUUUCCCUGCCUUUUUUUCUUUGAAAAACACCAUUGAUCAGAAACUGAUUGUGCCAGCAGAAUAUUUAAGCAUAGCUAGGAUAUUUAUAUUUUAGUUGGCAAAUAGUUCUGCCAGUUUUUUUUAUUUAUCUGUUAUCUAUUUAUUUCACCUUUUAAUACUUUGAAUAUAUGAAUAUACUAGCACAUAUUGUUCGUUGCUUUGUAAAGUUAACUUUUGUAGGAACCUGAUUUGCAAAGUUUAACUUUCUAUAACAGUUUGGUGUGUUCCAACUAAUCAAUGCCCUGCUGGUCCUCUUCGUGUCUCUGGCGGUAGUACCACUUGCCAUCCAGCGGCCAAUGAGGUACAAUGGCAUAACUGACAUAAUCUCUGUUUUUCCCUUACAUUUAAAAUUUUAUUAGUUGUCACGUACUUAUGGUCAUGUACUUACUAAUGCUUUGACCUGAGACUAUAACCACUGUAGUUAUACCACCUCGAUGUAAGGUGGCAGUAAAAGGCCUUUUGAUUUUACCUUCGACACUACAAGCAGCUAAUAGAUAGGCCCAUUGCUUGCAUGAUGAUAAGUUUUGACCACAAGAAUGUUCUAACAAAUCUUAUCCUUGAUUGCAACUAAAAGAGAACUGACUAGGCCCCGGUCAUCUCCGCCUCUGAUGGUGCUCCUAGACGUGCUACACAUCGCCUACUCGUCUCCUUGGCCGCUUCGGUGCCAGUGGCGUUCAUGCUCGUCGGUGGGACGGUGCAAGGCGCAACUCCGACGUGGUUCCUCGCUGGUUGGAUGGCGUUCAGGCGCAACCCCGGCGCCCACUGAGUACUGCCUCGGCUACAACCUCCCUUGGUGAGCUCCAUCAUCCUCUGCUUCGGCUACUAUACAGAACAUGGUCGUGGCUAUGUUGAUAUAGUGCUUGUCUGGUUGAUGCUCUGUAGUUGUGGAUCCAUGCUUGAGCUCUCUCAGAGCUCAGACACUCUCGGCCGUCGGAUCUUUUUCCUGAUGCGAUCUGGGCCGUUGGAUCUUGCCCUCGGUUCACCUCAUCCGUCGGAUCAAAACUGAGGCCGUUGCAAUGAACAGCGUGCGCCCCGGGCGCACCGAAUGAUGCAUGGCUUUGUGAUUAACCAGUUUGUGGUUGUUGAUUUGUUCUGUGCUGGAUGGACUUUCUGUUUUGGCGAGUUCGCUAGAGUUGCUCUUAGCUUGCGCGGGCUAUGGUGAUCGGUUAUGGCUGAUAUAAGCAUGCUCUCGAGCAAUUGAGGCACUUGUGGGUAUUNNNNNNNNNNNNNNNNNNNNNNNNNNNNNNNNNNNNNNNNNNNNNNNNNNNNNNNNNNNNNNNNNNNNNNNNNNNNNNNNNNNNNNNNNNNNNNNNNNNNNNNNNNNNNNNNNNNNNNNNNNNNNNNNNNNNNNNNNNNNNNNNNNNNNNNNNNNNNNNNNNNNNNNNNNNNNNNNNNNNNNNNNNNNNNNNNNNNNNNNNNNNNNNNNNNNNNNNNNNNNNNUCGUUUCUUUGAGUCGUUUUGAUCAUGUGCUUAUUUUAGUGACUCUGUCCUUGGAUGGUCAUUUCUGAUGAGUGAUAACCAGGGCAGUUUCACCCUUGUAAGAACAUAUUGAUCUGGUGAUGGAGACACUAGGGGAAGGGUCAUGAUCAGGCAAAUGCGAAUCUGAGCCCAUUCAAAUGCAGUUCUGGUCUCAAGCACAGUGUGCUAUGUUUUGUCGUUCUGUAUUUGUAUUUAGCGCCUCUUUGGUUUGUACAUUUCCACAAUAAUAGCUUCAAAUCUCUUUUGCUAUUUAAAACUGCAGUUUUUUAAGGGGCACACAUACACAUGAUGUGUUCACAUGUUAGUUGAAAACUUGGUGAAUUAAAUAUAUAUCUCAGCUACUAUUGAUAAUCAUGGCUAAAGCAAAAUUUCUUCUUUAAGUUUGCUUCCCAUGUACAUGUGUUACUGCUUGUGAAUCUCUACCGUUCAUGAGAACUUGCUGCAGCUCACAGUAGAGCUGCCACAAAAAAUUGUUGCUGAGCUGGCAUUGAUCCUUGGGAAAUAGAGGUAUGCCCAUUCUAUUGUGUUCUGUAUGUUCCAUUUGAUGCAUCUUGAAUCUGCUUUUCCACACGUUCAGCUUCUAGCUCCAAUACAACACCUUCAUAUUACCUGCCAAUUCACAAGUGCAUGUUCUAUAUCAAAUAUAAUUGUUCCCUGUGUCGAAACAUAGUGUGACGCCCGGAUGAUUAGGCUACAAUAAUUCCACGCUAAUGAUGCCACAUCACCUCGGUUACUGUUACUAAUCUCGCGAUGGUUCAAAAACGGUUCGAAUUCAAAUUUAAAAUCGAGUCAAACAAUUAAAGUUUUCAAAAGUCAAAACUAAAAUGUGCUUAAUGUGGCAAAUAAAUCAUGGAUAUUAUUGGUGGAUUAACAACAUCUUUAUAAAAUAUUUAAAUACCCUAAAGUGAUUAAAACAACAUCAAAACAAUUAGUUAUACUCCUCAUAUAUUUUACCAAAUACUAAACUAUUUUUAUUCUGAGGUGAAACUUCUUAGAAUAGUGGAUUAAUUUGACACACUAUUUUUAGAGCUAUUUUCAUAUUUUACUAAACCAAAAAUAUAGUGCAACUAAAAUAAAACAGAAAGAAAAUGAGAAAACAACAACAAAAGAAAAAUAAAAGCCCCACCCCUCGCUGGGCCUCGGCCCAGCUGGCCACGGGGCUAGCCAGGCCGCCCAGCCGGCCCACUUGGCCCGCCCCCCUCCCACACUCACUCCCUUAUCCCCUCGCAACCGGAAACCCUAGCCCGAUCCACCACCACUCCCCCUCGCCUCCUCCCCCGAUUCCCCCUGGAUUGGGAUCGACCCCUCCACUCUCCCCUCACGCCUCGCUCCUCUCGCUCCCUCCCGAUCCGGAUCGGGGCGCAACGGCGCCCCCUCGCCGCCGCUCCNNNNNNNNNNNNNNNNNNNNNNNNNNNNNNNNNNNNNNNNNNNNNNNNNNNNNNNNNNNNNNNNNNNNNNNNNNNNNNNNNNNNNNNNNNNNNNNNNNNNNNNNNNNNNNNNNNNNNNNNNNNNNNNNNNNNNNNNNNNNNNNNNNNNNNNNNNNNNNNNNNNNNNNNNNNNNNNNNNNNNNNNNNNNNNNNNNNNNNNNNNNNNNNNNNNNNNNNNNNNNNNNNNNNNNNNNNNNNNNNNNNNNNNNNNNNNNNNNNNNNNNNNNNNNNNNNNNNNNNNNNNNNNNNNNNNNNNNNNNNNNNNNNNNNNNNNNNNNNNNNNNNNNNNNNNNNNNNNNNNNNNNNNNNNNNNNNNNNNNNNNNNNNNNNNNNNNNNNNNNNNNNNNNNNNNNNNNNNNNNNNNNNNNNNNNNNNNNNNNNNNNNNNNNNNNNNNNNNNNNNNNNNNNNNNNNNNNNNNNNNNNNNNNNNNNNNNNNNNNNNNNNNNNNNNNNNNNNNNNNNNNNNNNNNNNNNNNNNNNNNNNNNNNNNNNNNNNNNNNNNNNNNNNNNNNNNNNNNNNNNNNNNNNNNNNNNNNNNNNNNNNNNNNNNNNNNNNNNNNNNNNNNNNNNNNNNNNNNAGUCCACCCCAUCGCCGGACCAUGCCGGCAGGGUCCCGCCGGCGCGCACUGGACCCGGCCGCAGCCGCUCCCAGCGAGUCGCCCCGCUCCGACGCCCUCCAACGCCGGCAGGCCGCCGGCCACGACCACCACGACCCGUUCCGGCCUCCCCAAGCUCCUCUACUGCUCGAUGUGAGCACCUCGCAUAUACCCCCAUGAUGCCGCUGCUACUCUUACUUCCUGUUACUGCUGCUCAUGCUUAGCUACUGCUGGUCCUGCCGUUGCGUUGCCGUUGUCGCUGCGUCGUCCCCUUGUUGCUGGUGCGCCACCGCGCCCCGGCUCCCCUGCCGCCCGCGGGCCUGCUCGUUGCGGCCCCGCACUCCGUUUCCCUCCCACGCCAGCCGGCCACUGGCCUCGCCACGCUCGUGGCUGGCCCCCCCUGCCUGUCGAUCUGGGCGCUCGCCCAGUCGGGCGCCGAUGCCCAGUGCCCGCACCCGCGGCAACCGCACGCCCGUUAGCCCCCAGGGCCCUAUGACAAAGGGGGCCCGCCCCCAGAACGUUAAAAAAAGUAUAUAAAAAUAAAUAAAACAAUAAUUAAAAUAAAAACAAAUUUAAUUAAUUAAUUAAUUAAAUUAAUUAAGUUAAUUAACCUUAAUUAAUUAAUCUAAUUAACCUGUUAGCUUAAUUAAACAGUGAUUAGUUUAACUAAACCCUAAUUAACCUAACAGAGUAUGACAGGUGGGUCCCACUGGACCCACGCGUAAGUUUGACUUAGUCAACUCUGUUGACUGCUGACGUCAGCAUGACAUCAUGCUGACGUCAUAAAUCCAUUUUUCGAAUUAAUUAAAUAAUUAAUUAAAUUCCAGAAAUUAAUAAAAUCUUUAGAAAAUCAUAUCUUUUAAUCCGUAACUUGGAUUAAAUUAUUUUCAACAUGAAAGUUGCUCAGAACGACGAGACGAAUCCGGAUACGCAGUCCGUUCGUCCGCCACGCACCCCUAACCUAUCGAACCCGCAACUUUCCCCCUCCGGCUCCUCUGCCCGAAAACACGAAACACCGGGGAUAUUUUCCCGAAUGUUUCCCCCCUUAACCGGUACCACCUCAUACCACGCUAGGGCACGCCUAGCAUCGUUACUUGUCUUGUCAUGCAUCGAUAUGCAUCUGUUUGCAUGGUAUUCAUUGUUUCUUCCCCCUUUUCUCUCCGGUAGACUACGAGACCGACGCUGCUGCUGCCCAGUUCGACUACGGUGUUGACGACCCCUCUCUCUUGCCAGAGCAACCAGGCAAGCCCCCCCUUGAUCACCAGAUAUCGCCUACUCUUCUCUAUACUGCUUGCAUUAGAGUAGUGUAGCAUGUUACUGCUUUCCGUUAAUCCUAUUCUGAUGCAUAGCCUGACAUUGUUGCUACAUCUGUUGAUACCCUACCUGCAAUCCUAAAUACUUAGCAUAGGAUGCUAGUUUAUCAUCAUUGGCCCUACAUUCUUGUCAGUCUGCCUUGCUAUACUAUUGGGCCGUGAUCACUCGGGAGGUGAUCACGGGUAUAUACUAUACAUACAUACAUACUAUACAGAUGGUGACUAAAGUCGGGUCAGCUCGAAGAGUACCCGCGAGUGAUUCACGGAUUGGGGGCUGAAAGGACCUUUGUCCCGACGGCCCUCUGUGUGGAUCUUUGUGGCGGAGCGACAGGGCAGGUUGAGACCGCCUAGGAGAGAGGUGGGCCUGGCCCUGUUCGGCGUUCGCGGAUACUUAACACGCUUAACGAGAUCUUGGUAUUUGAUCUGAGUUGGUUACGAGCCUAUACGCACUAACCAUCUACGCGGGAGUAGUUAUGGGUAUCCCGGCGUCGUGGUAUUAGCCGAAGCACUUCAGACGUCAGCGACGGAGCGGCGCGCGCCGGAUUGGACUGGAACGCCUGCUAGGCUAGGUCUGCUUCCGGCCGCCCAUGCAACGUGCAGGUGUGCUCAGGGCGAUGGGCCCAGACCCCUGCGUGCUUAGGUUUAGACCGGCGUGCUGACCUCUCUGUUUUGCCUAGAUGGGGCUGCGACGUGUUGAUCUUCCGAGGCCGGGCAUGACCCAGGAAAGUGUGUCCGGCCAAAUGGGAUCAAGCGUGCUGGGUAAGUUGGUGCACCCCUGCAGGGAAGUUAAUAUAUUCGAAUAGCCGUGAUCUUCGGUAACAUGACGACUUGGAGUUGUACCUUGACCUUAUGACAACUAGAACCGGAUACUUAAUAAAACACACCCUUCCAAGUGCCAGAUACAACCCGGUGAUCGCUCUCUAACAGGGUGACGAGGGGAGGAUCACCGGAUAGGUUUAUGCUAUGCGAUGCUACUGGAGAUGCUACUUGGAGAUGCUACUUGGAGAUGCUACUUGGAGGACUUCAAUCUACUCUUUUCUACAUGCUGCAAGACGGAGGCUGCCAGAAGCGUAGUCUUCGACAAGAUUAGCUAUCCCCUUCUUAUUCUGGCAUUCUGCAGUUCAGUCCACUGAUAUGGCCCUUUACACAUAUACCCAUGCAUAUGUAGUGUAGAUCCUUGCUUGCGAGUACUUUGGAUGAGUACUCACGGUUUCUUUCUCCCCCCUUUUUCCCCUUUCCUUCUUUCUGGUUGUCGCAACCAGAUGCUGGAGCCCAGGAGCCAGACGCCACCGUCGACGACGACUACUACACUGGAGGUGCCUACUACUACGUGCAGACUGCUGACGACGCCCUGGAGUAGUUUAGGAGGAUCCCAGGCAGGAGGCCUGUGCCUCUUUCGAUCUGUAUCCCAGUUUGUGCUAGCCUUCUUAAGGCAAACUUGUUUAACUUAUGUCUGUACUCAGAUAUUAUUGCUUCCGCUGACUCGUCUAUGAUCGAUCACUUGUAUUCGAGCCCUCGAGGCCCCUGGCUUGUAUUAUGAUGCUUGUAUGACUUAUUUAUGUUUUAGAGUUGUGUUGUGAUAUCUUCCUGUGAGUCCCUGAUCUUGAUCGUACACGUUUGCGUGCAUGAUUAGUGUACGAUUGAAUCGGGGGCGUCACACAUAGAUUCUGCAUUGUAUAGGAUUCCAGCUCUUUAACCAUUUCCGCAUGCUCUUACACAUAUGUGCUUUCAUUAAGAAGAAAAAUCUACCAUGCUAGCUUAGUUGAUCCAGGGCUUAAGCUAUAUACCAAAAUAACACCGAGAGGAGUUCUGUCAGAAGUACCUUGAGCCUUUUUAUUUUUAUAUUCUGUUUUGCACACUCAUUUAAUGCCACUUGGAAUAUGAAGUAGAAAAAUACCAUAAAGAGCUUGAUGACUUAUAACAUUACUCGGUAUUUUAUCGUUCUUAUUACUCCAUCAUAGGCUUAUAUAUGUUAUUUUCAGUCAUACACCACAUCGAACAUCCAAAUAUUGUGUGGCAGACCCUGUCCUAUGCUCAACCUGAUAUGCUCUUUUGUAGUGUUGAUUGUGUGUGUUAGGAAUAUGGCCUUUUUUGCAAGAAGAAACUUGAUCGAAGCUUUGUGUGAUCAAGUUUAUGUGUUGCUUGCUAUGAGUGUCUCGAGCAAGAGGACCAAGUGUUGGCAGGUGGGCGUCAACAAGGUGGGCUGUCAGCAGGUGUUCGAGUUGGUCGGUGGUGGUGCACCUGCGCCAUGAAUGGAUCAAUACUCUAGGAGGUUCUGUCGAGGCCUAAUCCAUCCAGGUAGUUUGUUAUACUACUGAUAUGAAUACACAUUAUUUAUCAAGAGCUUUUGUAUAUCAUAUUAUCAAGGAAAAUAAUCCGUCUAUGCAUUUCUUGUGUUCAUGUGCAGUUCAGAGCCAUUGUUAUCCAUCCAGCACUUAAUUUAACUAAAGCUUGUGAAAAUAUUUUUCCCAUAGAAAUAAUCACUUCGGAUUGGUAGUGUCAAAAGGAUGCAAAAUAUUUGUACACAUUUUUUUCCCAUUUUCAUGAGACUUCCACUCUGCUAUUGCAUUAGUAAUUUUCAUUGCCCUGUAUUACAUCAUUGAUUGUAAUCAGAGUAUGAUUAUAUGCUUGCUUCAUGGUGCUUUAGGUCAAGAUGUUUGGUAUAUGCUCAUCUUGUUGAGUUUAACUUUUAGCUAAUAACCAAAUUGUUUCCUUUUCCAGGAUUCUCCUAUGAUGGAAGAUGUUCUAAUCAUCUUACAGUCAAGGGUUAUGGCAGAUAAACUCACAAAAAUAUUUAUUUAGAUCUUUCAGUUUGGAAGUGCCAUGUUUUCUACUUGUACUCUACAGGCAGUGUUACUGAUCUGUUUUCAAUCUCAGUAUGCCGUCUAUCCGGAUUUUGUAUCGCUUGCAUAGUGCCUAAUAUCAUGAGCCAAUUCUAAUAUUAUUUAUAGAGCUUUCAUAUUAUCAUUAGUAUGAUGGAGCCUGUAAAGUAUUGUCCACUACUGAUUACAUUAGCUUCACCUCAGAACGUGGAAAGAGGAAGUAGAGUUAUCAAUACUACUGUAGAUAUUAAUGUUUCCGGAGCAUCGUUUCCAAUUGUCUGUUAUCUCAUUGUGUUUAUGAGCAGAUACAUCUCCUGUGACACUUAGUCUUACACUUGCUGAUAUAAACUACUUGGCAAUAUUUAUAGAAUGUAUGUCUUUAUAUUUGUACUAUUCGAUACAAAUCAGUUGUCCUCGGCAAACAUUGCGGCUUGCUUUUGGUACAAAUUUUGCCUCUAUGAUCUGUAGUUUUGUGUUUAUCCUGGGCAACAACUACACUUUGCUGGGCAUCAACUACACUUUGCUUUUGGUAUAUAUUUAAUCUAUAUGCCCUACAUUAAACUUAGUUAUCCUGGGCAACAACUAUACCUUGCUCUUGAUGCAUCUUUGUAGUGUUUGUGAUAUAUACUGAACACAUUAUUUUGGGGGGUUAUUUAAAUUUCUUUUGGAUGUUUUAAACGCUUUGUGAUAUUAAAGUUUUAGUCGUUGGGUCACUGUGAGGCAACACCCGCAAGGCGCGCUUCUAAUCUCAUCAUUAGACCAAAACAUUCGGACCGGCACCCUCGCGGCAAGGCGCGAUCCCGAUCUAGUAGCUAUAUGAAAGCAGGGGAGCCGUCCGAGCAGAGGUUGGCAAGGAUUCUUCUUGGCACGGAAGAAAAGUUCCUUGACUCGCUCCAGUAAACCCCACGCACGCAAGUCAUUAAUUUUUUUUGCUUUUGCUUUUCAACACGCACGCCACUCAUCAUCACACUAUUCCCCACCGCAAUCCCCAACGCGUGACACAGCUUCCACCCCCCUCGAUCGGAGCCGGGCCGGCACGGAACACUGCUCCCCUCCCCUCUCCUCGCACCGCACGCGCGCGCCGGGUCCCAAUCGAACCUCACGACGCACGCCGCGACCCGAUCCCGAUCCCACCGCGCCAGGAGCAUCGCCCCGUCCGCCCCGUCCGUAUCCGGCACCCCCGAGAACCAGAGUCCCGACCGACACCGCCCGCCACCCCGACUCUCCCGCGGCAACGCCUGAAAUACCCCGCCCCAGCGCCCGAUCCCGCGAGAAAACUCGCCACCCGUCGCUUGGGCUUGACUCCUCGUCUGCCUCGGAUCGAGUAGAAACUUCCGGUGGUAGGUCGCCCCGGCUUUACCCCACCGGCCACCACCCCCGCCCCGCCCCCAAAACUGUUCUCCUCCUCCGCCUCGUGGAAGCCGACUCUCUUUCCGUGGGGAGCGAAGCGGGGCGGGCGAUGAGGCCGGGGGCGCCAACGCGGAGCUCACCCACCCAGUCCACCGCAAGCAUGUGGCCGGGCAGGUGAACUCCACUCCCCCGCUCUCCCCACGCGCCGCGCGGUUAAAUUGCUCGCCUCCUCCACCCCGCAGACCGCAGCAGCAGAGGCCGAUCGAGCCGCGGCGGCAUGGGUCCCAACCUCAAGUACCGGGCUGGGCUCGUCCUCAUCGUCGCCGUCGUGCUCAUAUGGGUCACCUCCGCCGAGGUCACGCAGGUAUGCUCCUGCCAAGCCCAGCUUUUUCCUCCUCCUCUUCCUCACAUGCUUGCUGCUCCUUUUCUGUACUUUAUCAUUAUUGUUGUUUAUUCGAGGCCUCUGGAUCUUGGCUGCUCUUGUUUGAUAGUUUCCGCAGGCCUUUUGUAUCGCAUUUAUUCUUCAUCUGAAUUGUUUAGUGUCAUUGAGAAGUCUUUACUGCAAUAGACAAUUGUUUCACGGUGGUGGGAUGUUAUGGCAGCGUGUAGAAUACGACCGAGCCUGCGCAUCGAUAUGUUUUUCUUCUAGUAUUUUCCGACCUCGAUUUGGUAGCUUUUGCCACCGGGUGUCCUGGAGAAAUUUGCUGUACAAAGUCGUUGCGUGUGUGGGUAGAUGUCUGUACAAAUGGAAAAAUUGCUGUGAAUGCUCCAUGGAUGUGUGCAUCUGUCAGCAUUUCAGUCUUUGCCUUGCAAAUGCUAGUUUGCUUGAGUUGGUUGCUGACACUUCACAUCACCAAUACCCGGAUGAUUGUAGGUGGUUGUGAUAUUCUUACUCACCUAAUGCAUCAUUGCAAGGAACCUUACUUCAGUUUUGGCAAUCAGUACUUACAUUUUACUGAAGAGCACUACAUGGACACACUCUACUAGUUCAUCAGGAGAGCAUAUGCGUUUCACCCUUACAUGAAUGUUUGUUUUGUUCCUUUUGAUAAAUUUGUUGUUAUCAAUGAAGCAAAUUUUAACUUGAGCAUCUGAACUGAACCUCUGUGUGCAGGGGAUUUUCGCUAACUACAAGCAACCAUUCGCAAUUACUUACUUGGGGGCCUCCCUUAUGGUGAUCUACAUCCCGUUGGCAUUUCUGAAGGAUUUUAUAUACAGAUUGCUGAGAAGGAAUUCUGGAAGCAGCAAGGCCUCAAAAAUCGCGAGCAAAUCUUCAUUUGGCGGUAGCGCUCCUCUGAAGAAUGGUGAAUUUCAGAAGAUGCUGGAAAUGGAACCACAGAAAACCGUGGUGAUAAAAAUUACUGAUGUGGACAUUCCUGUACUAGAAGAGACGAAACCACUCAUCUGUGGAAUUGGUGAAUGUGAGGGUGGGGUUUUGAAGGAGCAACAGCUUUCCACCAAGGAGAUUGCAAUUUAUGGGUUGUAUCUUUGUCCCAUAUGGUUUGUCACAGAGGUAAAUUUUCCAGUUAUCUUGCCUGUUACUUAUGAUUCAUGAAAUAGUUUGGUUUCAGUCAUACAGACAGUAUUUUGAUCGAUACAGUUACUCAUCUUCUCUUAUGCUUUGGAUGCAGUAUUUGUCAAAUGCGGCACUUGCAAGAACCAGUGUGGCAAGCACUACUGUACUAUCUUCAACUUCGGGACUCUUCACCCUUUUCAUUGGUGUGCUACUGGGCCAAGAUUCCAUAAAUGCUGCCAAAGUUAUUGCUGUUUUUGUUAGCAUGGCUGGUGUGGCAAUGACAACUAUGGGCCAGACUUGGGCAACAGAUGAAUCAGAAGUAAGCAAUUCAGGGUGAGUGGGUUUACCCUGGCAAUUAAGCUUCUCAGCUGUGCAUUGGUACCAACUGCCAAGUGGCUGUAUACUGUCCAUACCUAAUUUAGCUUCUCACCUGUGCAUUGGUACCAACUACCAAGUGGGCUGUAUAUUGUCCAUAAUUAGCUUCUCAGCUGUGCACUUGCUUUCUUUUUAGUAAAGAUGGUUAGCUGCAAUCAAAUUAUUUUUCUUAAAAAGGAGAAACUAAAAGCAUUUGACAUUCCUGUUUCAUGGGGUAAUUAAUGAGGCUGUUUUUGGGGAUGAACUCAUCACUUUGCCAAUUGUCUAAUUCUUGAGCUUUACAACCACAGGGCCACACAGAGGACUCUUCUAGGAGACAUGUUUGGUCUUAUGUCAGCUAUGUCAUAUGGUCUAUUCACAGGUUGGUUAUUGCACUCUUCUCUUCAGUUUGUAGUCUAUUCACUGGUUGGUUGUUGCCUGAUCCUGAUUGUUUCACAUCAUUCCAGUGCUUCUCAAAAAGUUUGCUGGAGAAGGAUCAGAAAAGGUUGAUGUCCAAAAACUGUUUGGUUUUCUCGGACUUUUCAGUCUUUGUCUUCUCUGGUGGCUUGGUAAGAUUUUUCAUUUUUGCACAUUUUAUUGUUCUAAUAGUGCUCAGUAUUCAAAUAUUCAUUGAUAUAAAUAGCAUGUACUAAACAUAAACUGCUGACAUACAAGCCUUAUGGCAUUGGACGUGAGUCUCAUCGGAAGCUACAGGGACUGGCUGUAUUCACUCAUUCAUGACCCAAAAUGUUCUGUAUGUUGUGCAUGCAAGUAUUUUAUUUGGUAUUUUGGUCGAAUCGUCAGGAAUAGUUUUGUGUCGAGGUCCACAUGUACUUUGUAUGUAUUUAUAGUUUGUUCUUCCUGGUCUAAAUAUACCAAUAUGCUGAAGUGUUUGUAUCUUUUCAGUGUGGCCAUUAACUGCACUUGGCAUUGAGCCAAAGUUUACAAUGCCCCACUCAGCUAAAGUGGAUGAAGUGGUGCUGGCAAACGGCCUUAUUGGGAGUGUGCUAUCAGACUACUUUUGGUACGCAUUAAGAGAAGGCUAAUGUUUUUUUUUACAAUAUUGCAUAACUGCGGUGUUUUGACAACGUAACUUCUGCACAGGGCUCUUUCCGUGGUUUGGACUAAUCCCUUGGUGGCCACGUUAGGCAUGUCGCUCACAAUUCCACUAGCGAUGGUUGCUGACAUGGUCAUCCACGGCCGACAUUAUUCAGCAGUCUACAUUUUUGGCUCUGUCCAGGUAUCUAACUCUUUUGCCCUGCAUCUCAGAACUGUUUAUUUUAGGUUUUGUUGAAAAGCUAUAAUUCUAACCACUUCUGAUGCACAAAUACUGACAAAAACUACUGUUAUCAUUUCGAAAGUUGAAAUAGCUAUUGCCUAUUGGUAUCCCCAUGUUCAGUUCUCUGAACCUCUUUGCCUGCUCAAGAUCACUCUUACUUGCAUUUGCCAUCUGUUUUACUCUGUUUACCUGUGCUGCUCUUGCAGGUAUUUUCUGGGUUCGUCAUCGCCAAUCUUGCCGACCGCGUUUCACGUUUCUUAGGUCUAUAGUCGUGAAAUGUACAAGGUUGAAUCGGAGUGUACAUCUGGAAGGUUGGGUAGGGUUAGUAACGAAGUGUACAUUGGGUGUUUGGGUUAGUUAGUUAUAAGGACAGCUCUGUCUUCUCUGUAAAUCAUAAGGAUGGGGGAAAUGGCAUUGCAGCUCUGUUUCCUUUUUACCUUCGGCCCCCUUUACACGCAGGAAUGGAUAAUUUUGGUGUGGUGGAAUUGAAACAGUGAAAGCUUAGCAUACGUAAGGAACAUUAUGAAUUUAUGAUGUCGUGGCAGACCUUUGAAACUGUAAAUUCUUAGCUUUUGCUAUGCUAUGUUAACGCCUGUAUAGCGCAAAAAUUUUCAGCGCUCUCACAGAAAAAGAAAUUAAAUAAUCUUUGAGCACCAUACUUGAUGUGUGAUGGGACUACACUUCAAGAUAAAAAAUCGUAAUAAUGAAAGGUUAUGUUUUUUUAGGGGAUCAAAUGUUAUGUGCAUGCCUAGUUAAGGGCAAUCUUCCUUUUUUUUUGAGACAAAGGUCAAUUUCCCUAAACGGUGCCUGCAGCCGCGUUAGGUGGGCUGGCCCAUUUUUCUGUUUCAGUCUGUAUGUUUUUUUUUCUUCAGGGUGGGUCCAACCACUGACCUCCUGUAUCGAGGCGCAAUGCGCUAACCAACGGGCCGCUCAAGCUCGUCUGAUAUUUUUCAACAUUCUCAUUAUUUUAUUACUUCUACUUUUUCUUUCCUUUUUCCGUUUCUCCUUUUCUUUUCCUGGUUUGAUGAACAUUUUCUGCCAAAUUGAUGAGCUUUUCUCUAAAAGUUGAUGAAUUAUUUUUCAAAUUUCCAUGAUUUUUUUUUCAAAUUUGAUGAACCUUUUUCCUAUUCAAUGAACUUUUGUAAAAGUCGAUGAACUUUUUUCUUCAAAUCGAUGAACUUUUUUCAUUUUUUGAUGAUCUUUUUUCUAAUUUGAUUAACAUUUUUUCAAGCUUGGUGAACUUUUGCCAAUUUGGAUGAACCUUUUCCAAAUUGGAUGAAUUUUUUUCAAAUUGAUAAACUUUUUCCCAAUUCAAUGAACUUUUUUUAAAUUUGGUGGACUUGUUUCAUAUUCAAUGAACUUUUUAUCAAAAUUGAUGAACUUUUUUUCAAACUCACAAACUUUUUCCCGUUUUGAGUUUUUUUCAAAUUCAUAAAUCUUUUUGAGUUUGCGAUUUUUUCAAAAUAUAUUAUUUUUUUAAAUGAACUUCUUUUGAAUUCGUGAACCUUUUCGAUUUGGUGAACAUUUUUGUGAAUACGCGAACUUUUUUUGCAUGUUUGUGAACUUCAUUUGAAAUCUAUGAACAUGUUUUCAAAUAAUUGAAAAAUCUAAGCAUUAAAGUGUAAUGCCACGUCUACGUUUCUAUUCUUAAACAACCCGCGCUGUAAAUAGCGACUAGCAAUUAUUGGUCUAGUGGUUAGCAUCGCUAUAAAGAAGUUCGAUGGCGCGAGUUCGAAUUCCGGUUGAUAGACAUAUAUUUUGUUGUGUUUUUUGGCUUUGCGCUGUCGUGGGCCAGCCCACCCAGAGGUGCUGCGAGCGCCAGUUAGGUUGUGCGGCGCUGAAGGCGCGCAAUAGGAGGCCUCUCCCUAGUUGGUGUAGAGGCCAGGACAAUAAUUUUAAAUGAGGCUAUCAUGUCGCUUCCUUGUGGCCCACUCGGGCGGACCAUGUAACCUAGCGCCGCCACCAAAAGAACCUCCAAUCCUCUUGCCGCCGUCGGAGGAAGUUGUAGGGCGGAGCCGCUGACGUUGGCGGCGGGGACCUUUAUGCUUGUGUCGUGGGGGUGGCCCCGGGCAUGGCGGAGCCCCUCUCGGUGACGGUUGCGGCAACGUUUUGACGUGGCUACUCGGUUCCAUCAAGGCUGGGCCGUUGCCUGCCUCCUCGUCUGCGUGUGACGUUGGGUGUGCUAGGUGGUGGUGGCGUGCUUUGGUACGGUUGUGUUGGCGUCAAAUCACACGGUUGGGGAGCUGACUGAUCCUGGUUGGGAUCAGCAGGUUGGCGUCUAGCAUAGUCACGGGCUGUUUACGGGGGUUUGACGGAGUGGUUAGCAGUGAUUGGCUGAGAUUUGGUUUAAUGAGGCAGGCCCCACCAAUGAAAAUCGGGGGGAGGGGGGCAAUUAGUGGAGGACACGCAUGGAGGGUCCAUAAAAGUCCGUUGUUUCCCUCCGUGCGUGUAGUAUUAUCGCCCCAGGGAGGAUUGGGAUAUAGCAUGGAUAUGACUGGUGGGGCCAAUGUAGUGAGUUAGAGUAUCGAUUGAUCCCAUCCUAGAUUAUCUUUUUCCCGGUGCAUCAAACGGAUCCAGGGUUUAGUUUGACCAAGAUCGAUGAGUACAGGGUAUCGAUUUUAGAGAUGUAAGGUUGAUGAUUCAUUUGUGUCACACUAUACAAGCUCAUUAGCUCAGGGUUUAAAACAGACUUAACGAAUGCUCCAGAUUACAUGGAGAUGCGGUCUGUUCAGAUAGAACUUGAAAGUUGAGCCGUAUCUACCACAACUAUACGCAGGGAAAUCAAUCGCAACAACUCCAUGCCGUACACGUACGGGAUUAAAACAUAUUUCAACAGGCUCCAGUUCAUCGUCCGCGACAUCAACCCAGCAACAUUACUAGAUCCGUAGGUCGCGCAGUUCACCCAUGGCCAGGGUGCGCGGGACGGGUCGGAUCUCACGCCGGCGGCCUCCUAAGGCGGUCCGCGGCGGCGGCGAAGACAGGAUCAGCGCCCUCCCCGAUGAUCUCCUCCUCCUCAUCCUGCGCCGCGUCGACACCCGCACGGCGCUCGGCACUGCGUCGCUGUCCAGGCGCUGGUCCCGCCUCCCCGCCGAGCUCCCCGCCCUGGACUUCAGUGUCUUCGACGUGCUCCCGGAGCGCUACUGCAGCUGGCUCCGCCUCCAUCUCAGGAUCGACGACGCCACGGAUGAGAGUGUCCUGGCUAACUUGAUGAGGUACGAGCGCCGCGCCAUGCGCGCCCUAAUCGGCUUCAUCCAGAGCCGCCUCUUGUUGGACGCUCCCCGGAGGCUCCGCCGGCUGGGGCUCCAGUUCUUCUCCGCCGACAAUAACAGCGGCCUCAUCAACCGGCUCGUCGCCAAGGCCAUCGACGACUGGGGGGUCAGCAAUCUGGAGGCCGUCGCCGCGCCGUUCUACACGCAGCCGGCCGCCGCCCACGCCUUUCCCGGCCACGGCCUCUGCGAGCGUCCCCGCGCGUCGCGCCUGCGGAAGCUCAAGCUCGGGGGCUGCGCCGUGCUCCCGCCGCUUCACGAGCACGGCGCGCUCACCAAGCUCGUCCUGCAAGACAUGCCGGAGUCGGUGCCUGUCGCGGCCUACGAGGCCGUGCUCGCCUCGUGCCCGCAGCUGCAGGUGCUGCACCUCGUGUGCUGCCUCUGCCGCGGCGCCGAGGUCAUGACCGUCGACGCCCCAAUGUCGCGGAUCAGGGAGCUCGUCGUCGACAGGUGCGAGUUCCCGACGAUGAUACGCAUGGCGGCCCUUCCCGGCCUCGAGAGGCUGGCCUCGCUCGGAACCAGGGUGUCCUUCGCGGAGUCCGCCUCGUUUCCCCGCCUCAGCCAGUGCAACCUCGCCUGGUUCUCCGAUGCCCAGCCGACAAGGACGGUGCUCGACUUCCUCGUCCGACGGACCCCGGACAUUGCCAGCCUUAUGAUCCGAUUCACCGGACCGGAGAGGUGGAUCGUGCCGUGGAGCCACCACCCGUCGUCGCUGCUGCCUAACCUGACAAGGCUACUGGUCGCCGACGUGCCUUCGUCCUGGGACGUCUCGUGGCCCCGGCUCCUCCUCGAGACGGCGCCUUCCCUCGAGACCCUGCAUGUCCACGUCGCCGCCUGCGUGCAGGAGCCCGGCGAGGAGAUAAGCUGGGGGGCUGCCGUGCCCCGGCACCAUGGCCUCAAGGAGUUCGUGAUGGCCGGUUUCGGGGGCACGGCGAGGCAGGUUUACCUUGUCAGGUUCGUCAUGGGAGCGUGCACGGCGCUGCGGUGUGUCGCCGUGUUCAAGGAAGGGCAUGCUCGUGACAAGGGGCACUGGGACUGGGAGAUAGUGGUGCAGCCACACUCGUGGACCGACGAGGAGAGGAACAACUUGCUGGGCCAGAUCAUGGAUGGCGCUUCUUCCUCGGCUGCCUCGGUUCAAAUGGUUUUUGGCUGAGUUAGUUUUUCACGUGUGUUGUCUAUGGCUCAAUGGCUGGAACCUUCAAUAUGCGUCGGGUAGUUUAAUGGUCCCUUGGGAAAUACACUUUGAUUCCUGGUUAUAUACACCCUAUAUGAGGAUUUUUAAAUAAUUAAACAAAAAGGCAAAAUAGUUCAGAAGUUUUUUAAAAUAAAAUUGACUUACUUUUGCUCGGGUAUAUAUUUUUUACGAAAAAACAACAUUGACUAACAAAAAAAUUGUAAAUGUUUCUAACAAAAAAUUCAGUUUUUUUUAAAUUCCAUUUUUUGAUCUUACUGUUCACCCGAGCUCACAUGAGCUCGGGAUUAGAACAGCCACAUCCCCAUUAUGGUCAUGUACUCUCAUUCACUCCAAAAAAACCUAGUGCUCCCUAGAUUAGGAGCAUCCGCAUGUAUCUCGGGCUGUGGGGGUCACUAUGGACCCUGUCUGUAAGGCUGUGUGUCAUUGAUUGAGAGUAACACACACCUAGUUGUAUUGGGCCGACGGGUGUUUUUUGGUUUUUUGCAAUGUAUUACUUGUAUUUUUCUUUCUUUUCUAUUUAUCCUUUUCUAUUUUUUAUUAAUUCUUUUUAUUUUUCAUAUUAUAAUUCAUGAAUAUUAUUUUCAAACAUGAAUAUUUUUUAAAUAGACAAAUAUUUUUUCAAGUUCUUGAAUAUUUAUAAAGUUUGAGACAAGUUUUCAGUCUAUGAAUUCUUUUACAUUAGUUCAUCCUUUUCCAAAUUCCUGAACAUUAUUUGAAAUUAAUGAUUUUUUUAAAUUUCAUGGUUUUUUAAUUCAUGACAUUUUCUAAAAUCUGUGAACACACUUUUAUUUAACAACUCAUUCAAAUUAAAAAAUUGAUAGCCAUUUUGUUUUCUAAACUAGCAGUGAAGCAAGCGAGUGGAGCCGGGAGCCGAGCUGAGCAAAUGAGAUCUUCAUUGCUCGGCCCAUGUGAGCAUUAUGGCAGUAGUUUUACAAUUUCAACGUAGAACAAGAGUUUUUAAGGAGGAAAUACACAGGAGCACCUGGGUGCUCCACCGCCCAAAAAUAGGAGAAAAAACAUUUUUGAAAUCUUGGGAUAUGAAACUUGCGUGCCCAAUCUACUCCCCUGUGAAGUUUUAUAUGAAAAUACCAGGAAAUGUAUCUGUGGCGAAGAAAAUAAAGUCUGAACUAAAAUCCAUCUAAAUAGUUUUUUUUCUAUACAUAGGACUUUUUUGGUCUUUUUGCCACAGAUAUGUUUCCUGGUAUUUUUUCCUGAAAUUUCACACAAAUAUAGACUGGGCACCCAGGUUCCAUAUCCCAAAAUUUCAGUUUUUUUUUUGAAAUUUCUCAGUAUUUUUUAAACUUAAUGUUCAUAUAGGGGUGUGUAGUGCCCAAGCGCUACAAAUACUCUUCCCUUUCAAGGGCUAGUUAUUUUGCUGGGCUUCCAGAAUAAGCUGCUCCUACCCAAUUUAUUCUAGAAGCCCAACCAAUUUUUUUUUAGUAAAAGCUUAUUCUAGAAGUCAGCAAAAGAACUGGCCCCAAAUAUAGAAGGGGCUCACACAACCAACGCAGGCUACACCAAGGCCCAAAUAUGUAUCUUCUUAGAACAAAUACUGCCUCAACUGCAGCCCAUCACGAUAUGCAAAUGAAAGGAACACCAGUGGCGGCGCCAGCCUCAAGAAUCUGUGGGGUCAAUGGAUUUUUUUCUUCACGGUGAACAGGAAGUGAACAGUGAUUCUAGGCUGUUUUUCAAAAAAGCCCGACCCCACAGCUUACACAUAGAUUCGCCUCUGACCACCGUAACAUAAUUAAAAUCCAAGCCAACGUAAAUAAAACCAAAACCAAACAACUGACUGCAAUAACCUGAAAGAGCUGAUCCCACGAGUGAAUCAUCUGAUGUAUAGUUUCAGGUGGGUGACGGAUGGGUGAUUGGUUGCAAGUACCAAUCAUUCCAUUCAGUAAACAGUCGCUUACUACUGUAGUAUUGUCCUACUCUAGUACUCCCACUUGGCCACUUGUAUUUCUGCUUUGCUUUGUUUGAUUCAAGCUUUAAUUAAGCCGCAUUUCAUACUCAAACAUGAAAUUACUUGUCGAUCGUUCCCUCAUUUGCGAAUCCGCACGUCCGUUAAUGCUGCGGCGUAAGUGCCAUUAAUUCAGACGUGCACGGUCCGACUUUGGAGAUGGGAUUGUACGGCAUGAAGAUAGGACCAAAUAAUUGAUGAGAAGUUGAGAGCACACGGUGACCGAGUGGCUUCGGUUUGGCAUCUUGAAACCUAAAAAACCUACUGAGUGCAACGUAUAUUUCUUGAUCGAGAUGCGUGGGCAUGCAUUCGUCACUCGCUAGCAGAGUACGGUAACAAAAAAAAAA